rnacentral:lncRNA from 1 species
CCAUUCCAUGGUGGCCCUGCCUGCUCUCCCCACUGCCUCAUCUACCCACCACGGCCUCGCCCCGUCGGCCGCCGCCUCCUCUCCCCACCAUGGCCUCGGCCCGCCGCCUUCUCUCUCCACCACGACCUCACCUUGCCGCUAACCCCGCCGUUCUUCCCUAGAUCGACUCUGUCGCCGCCGUCCACAUGUUCCAGCACAGAUCAAGAUGCGAGCUAGAGGAGCAUCCUGGAAACGAUGCGGCAGCGGGAAUCUCGGAGCGGGCCGAGUUCCAGUUCGUCUACGUGCCCACCGUGAUAGUCGACCUCGUGCUUCGCUCCCACACCUGCUCCGAGAAGGCGCUCCCAGCUUGCCUACGUGGUCGGUUGCUCCAGGUACUUGUGGAUUCAGGCAUUCGCAACUGUGAACUCGAGUUUAACAAACGGUAUAUCACUGCUGGAUGGUGAACACACACAGUGGUGCUUUUAUUGAUAGAAAGUCAGGAUCCUUUCUCUUAAGAGGCUACUGUAAGAAAUGGUAACUUGGGGCAUGACUUGCAAGAAAGGGAUUGUAUGACAGAAUGAUAUUACUUCAUGGUAGAGUUUCUGCAUCUGGAGAUCAAGUUUUAUCUUGGUGUCUCAUGUCAGUUUUAUUGUGUGUGUGUGUGUUUCAGUAACACAUUUACUGUUCUGAUGAUCUUGCAAAUUUGUGAGCCGAAGAAAUGAUGACUUAGAUACUUGCGUUCUGAUAAGUAUGCUGAGCAGAAAUAACAGGCGGUCAUCUGUUAUAUGAUAUAUUAAAUUAAAUGAUGAUUUUUUAUUAGGUGCAGUUUAGAAUUUUGAGUGUACAAUGCAUCCUGUAAUGAGAGACCACACACUUAAAAGUUUCUUUAGAUUGAAAAUGGCUGUAUCUGCUUGCUAAAUCCUAAUUGCUAUCCAUUCCAGUACAAUACUUAUGUAGCUCAGUAGUCUAGGUUCGAGCAUGAGAGUCGUUUUCGAAUUGGAGAGAAAAAAUAUAAUUUGGGGUGAUCCUGUUUUCCUACUGUCUAAUCUUGGAGUAAGCUUAUCCUGAAUAUAUGUGAACUCUUUUGGCACUUUGUGGUUCUCUUUAGUCUCUCCGGUUAAUAUAACCAGUUCAUUAUUAUUUGUAUGUUAUUUGUCUUUCACAUGAAGAUUCAUUCUUUCUGGUUGUUUAGAAAGGACAAAUAGAUGUCGAUCAGUUUGAGCGUGCGGGAUAGCUUAUGUGUGUCUGUUGUUUGGAGUGGGCAAUUCCUGUGUUUUUCUUCUCACACUUCAGUUCUAGUCAUACAUGCAAGAAAGGAAACUGGGUUAUGUAUGUUCAUGCCAAAUAAACAUCAGGAGGUAAUGAUGACCUGUUGCUAACUUCUGCCAAGCCAUUCUUAAGAAUGUUGUUUGUUUGCAGGAUGUAGCUUGGGAAGGUCAGACUGUUGGAGUUGUAGCAGUUGUAGAUUUCUUCAAGGCAAAAAUAAAGCAUUUGCACUUGGUGAUAUGAAAAAGGUUAGCUUUCAGGUUUUGUUUCAGCAUGCUGUCACUCCUUAGCACUAAUUAUUACAUACUAAUUACUACCUGCACGUGCUUCUCGCUCCGGUCAAGAGGUAUUAUCAGUUGGGUGUGUGCGUACUCAAACUUUUAAACUUAUAUAUCUGUAUCUACAUGACUAUUGGGAAUUUGAGAAUUGAGACUAAACUUAUGUAAAUGAUAUUAGUAUGUAGAAGAGUGAAAAAACAAUUUAUAACAUUUUAGCAUUAGAAUUUGUGGUCAAGGUUCACGUCUCAAUCAUACCACAUCAAAUUCAUGCGUGUAUAAAGGGCCAGUUUGGUUGGUGUCCACAACUUCAUGCCUGGGACAAAUGGGUGCCUGGAAUGUAGCUUCUUCCCAGUUUCAAGUAAAAAGUAUUCCCUACAAAUGGGUGCCUGGGACAAAUUACCUUUGGUAGCUUUCCACGAAGGCGAGUUUCACAGCCUUUGACAUAUUUAAAUGCAGUAAUGUUCUGCAUUUAAAACAGCAUAAAGAGAUCUUGUGGAACAUACAUAUGUUUACUCGUUUUUCUGCACUGAGAAAUUGUACCAUUGUAUAUUACAAAAUGAGGCAUACACAAUGGAAGUAAUUGCUACUCAGCGGCACCCCAAUUCGCCCCUGAAACUAAAUUUGUCUUCCAAAAGUGUGCUGUGUGGUACAAUAAAAUAUCAUGUGCAUGUAUCCAUAAAAUAUACAUGUAACCGUAUCAUGGUAGGCUAAACCUGCAAAUGAAAAACAAAUAAUGUUAGUUCCAAAAAUAGUUAUAGAUGCAACAACAUAGUAGCUGCAAAGAAGUAAUGGAAUGACACACCCGCCUCAUCUCUCUAAAACAUCUUUGUAGACAAUGUUCUUGGUGCUUUUCCCGGAUUUAUCAACCUCCUUGUUUGGCUUGGCCAAAAUCCAUGUCGUCUCUCUUGACACUCCCCUUGACAAUGCAACAUAUAGCUGACCAUGUGAGAAUACAGGCUCAGGAAGGUAAAUACCAACGUUUGGGAUGGUCUGACCCUGUGCCUUAUUAAUUGUCAUCGCAAAACUUAGGCGGAUGGGGAACUGUUUUCUCUUAAGUUUGAAGGGAAGUGAGAUGUCCUCCAAGGGCGACAUAGGGAUCCUAAGUAUAAACACCCUCUUUCCAGCAUGCUGACCUCCAACAAUCUCCGCGUCGAUUGCAUUAUCCUGGAAGGCUCUGAUUAUAAGUCGUGUUCCAUUGCAUAGGCCAUUAUGAGGGUCGAGGUUCCGAAGCAGAAUGACUGGGCAGUUGACCUUUAAUCUCAAAACAUGCGGUGGCAAGCCAUUUGGUGUGAUCGAGUUCAAAAAAUCAAUUGUGUAAUUAUUUUGCAAGUCAUCCUCGAUUGAGUCGAAGCUAUGAUAUAACUUUUCUUCGCCUGGAAACCUGGAGAUCAUCUUAUCAUUCAGGUCAUCCACAUGAUCAUUCUUGGUCGAAAGAAUUGCACGUGCGCUCAUGUACUCUCUCGAUCUAGCAUUGGCAUGCAGCGAUGGGAAGACAUCUUCAAUGAGCGUGUUAAUAGCUUUUUCAUCCUCAGUAUAGCGGAUCACAAUGUUGUCAGGGAGACGCACAUAGUCGUCGCCAAUUGUCUCUUCUGUUCCAUUGCCGAUCCUUAGGAGGUAUUUGGAGAACCAAGGAUUAGCCUGUGCACGCAUAUUGUGCGUGAGACAUAUCUUGCGGGUCUUCUCCCACAAAUAUGAUCUCAGAAGUGUAGCAUCUGUGAUCUGCGCUCUUGUCCCACGUGCCACAACGGGAAGGACCUGCCUGAAAUCCCCACCAAAGACGACAACCUUUCCCCCAAACGGCAAAGGACAUUCCAUUAUAUCCUGCAACGAUCUAUCAAGCGUCUCAACAGCUUGACGUUUUGUCAUAGCGACUUCGUCCCAAAUUAUUAAGGACGCCUGUUUAAGCAACUCCGCUGUACCGCUUUGCUUUGUGAAACUACACAUGCUGUUGUCAGUGAGCUUUAUUGGAAUUUUGAACCUAGAGUGUGCAGUCCGUCCUCCAGGCAUUAUCGACGCCGCUAUACCUGAUGUAGCAGUUGCAAUUGCUAUUUGGCCCAUGGAACGCAUCUUUGCAAGCAAUGUCUUGUACAAGUACGUCUUCCCAGUGCCUCCUGGACCAUCAACAAAGAACACCUGACUUUUUUGGUUCAUCACAUGAUCCAUUAUGUCAUUGAAACCAGCCAGCUGCUCACUGUUCAAACUGCUAAAUAGAUCUAGAUGUUCUUUGUCCACGGUGACUUGCCUCUCCUCUGUUACCUCUCUGUGCUCACCAUCAUAAGAACCAUCGGUCUCAACCAGAUCUGGAAGUCCAUAGGUUGUAAUAUCCUUUCCCAUGGAUUGCAACAUAUCCCUGAUAUCUCUAAGCACCAUCUGUUCAAGUGUUGCCUCAUUGGAUUGGUUACGACGGUAAUCCUCAGACAUUGAUGCUAGAUUCUUGUCCCACAUUUGUCGGAUUUCUGUUGCCUCACAAAAUACCAGUAUAGUCGCAAACAACCGUCUUAGGGCACAAGGCAUCUGAAAUGUGGCUGCCUCCGUCAUGCAAUCAUCAAGAGUCCUGUCGUGCUCAAUGAGGCCUAAGUGCUCACAUGCCUCCCUGAAGGAACUGCAUGCCUUGCCAUUUACUGUUUUUAAAUCAUCAAAUGAAGUGGCACCCCGGACAUGACUUAGUAGGACACGCAAGUAGUACCUUUCUCCUUCAGUAGGGUGUGCAUACACAAGCCUUCCGACCUGUGAUCUCUUAUUUCUUCUGUUCUGCCACUCCUUGUUUCCAGCUAUCCAUCUAUAAUGUUUUGGAAACUCUCUGUACAACCAUUUUCAUGCCUCUGGAAACCUUCGGUUCAUCUCAAAGUACUCGGUAAGCAUGGACUUGGAAGAAGAUGGUCGAGCGAGAACAUCUUCCAGAUUUUCACAAGAUUUAAAUGCAAUUGUAUGCAUGUUUGGCAAAUGAAGCUGGAGCUGCAGCACAGAUGGACUGACACCAAACAUUUUAAAACCAAAAAUCCUGUAAAUAGCCUCUGGAGGAGAUACAUAUCGUGCAUCUCUAUAUUGUCGGAUUUCAUUGAUGAUUCCACCAUCAUUGAUGAUAUCCUGCUUGAAUGCAAAGGAUGUCCGAUCAUGCCCUUUGUAGAUGUACUUGAACAAGUACUUGACUGCCUUGAUGCUUGAGCAUGCUUCGACAUUAAUGUGGUAGUUGUAUCGCAUAAGCAGAAAAGGGUUGUAAGGGACCACCCAUCUAUUGUCCAAAUUUGCUUCUCUGAUCCUAACUCCACGUCCAUCGUCCCUCCUCCUAUAGAUGGGAUAUGAGUCUUUCCCUUGUUGUGUGGCAUUGCAAAAAUCUCGCGGGUAAUGAAAUCGACACUGUCCAUUAAUCAUGCAAGGACAACUUUUUUUCAACUCACCACAGGGUCCAUGCAUCAUGUGUUUGAUGACCAGAUCAUGUAGAAUGGGGUAUUUUUCUUUGUCAGGUAUCUCUGCAGAUAUCACCCGAUCAUAGGCAUCCGGGGUCGCUAACUUUCUUUUUGCUUUCAUGAUUAGAAGUAUAUGCUCAUGCGGGAGACCUUGUUUCUGAAACUCCGUGACAUGUACAUAAGCCGCAACUUCUCCGAAAUGCUUACCUCUAGUCAGUAAGUCCAUCAUAUCUCGUUGUUUAGCUUUGUAUACUCUUGCCACCAGGUCUGGACGGUCUUGUGGCAGUUGUCUAGGCAACAAUUUCUCAGUUAUCUCCUCCCAAUAAGGAUUGCAAGUCAUUGUGAUAAAAUAAUCCGGUUUACCCCACCGCUGGACUAUUGCCAUUGCAUCUAGAAACCUCCGUUGCAUGUCAUGGUCACCACCCGGAAAUGUACGUGGGAGCACGAUUCUCUUGCCAAUCCGAUCACAGCGUGACUCGCCGACAACGACAGUGUCAACAAGACCCUAUAAUAGUAUACAAGGUUAUAGAAAAGCAUGGAAUGUCCAUAAAGUCGUUGCAUUAUGAUCUAUUAGAAUAUACAAAAGCACGUUACCUGGUAGAGGUCAGCGCGUAUAACCUUCUGAUUUUCCGGCUUUGAGUACCAGUCAAGCCUCAUAGUCUCCAUCUUGAUAUACAUGUCAACAGCCCACUGUUGGAAAAGGUGCACCCCGAACAAGAUGAUGUUAAAAAGCUUCUUCCUGACCUGCAGUUUGAAGCAGUAGUACUCCCUCGCACUAACAAAUUUCCUGGCCUUUGUUGCAUUCACCUCAUUGUCACCAAAAUCCUCAUCUGGGUUAUAUUCAUUGUCAUCUACAAGAUUCACAACAUUUCAAAUUCAAUAUGUUGUUUGCAGGCAUAAUAGUUGACCAUAUAAGAAUUAAAGAUUAAGCAAUGAUGACCGAUACCCGCAGGUAAAUCCGUGGCAUGGUCUUCAUGUGGUUCAAAAUUCCCAACUUGUUCACUUUCUGUAAUGAAGUUUUCAUGUGAUAGAAAAAUGAGAACAUAAGUCUUCAUUCGUAAAUAGCAAGUAUAUAAAUUAAUAGUGCACAUCAUACCUGUAGAUAAAUCAGAGGUUUGGUUUACUUGUGGUGCAGUAUUAUGCGCUGAAUAUUGGGUCGUGUCAUCUACAAGAUUGACAACAUUUCACCUUCAAUACGUUGUUUGCACCGAUAAUAAUUGACCACAUAAGAAUUGAAGAAUAAGCAAUGAUGACCGAUACCUGCAGGUAAAUUUGUGGCAUGGUCUUCAUGUGGUUCAAAAUUCCCAACUUGUUCACUUUCUGUAAUCAAGUAUUCAUAUAACAGAAAAAUGAGAACAUAAGUCUUCAUUCAUAAAUAGCAAGUAUAUAAAUGAAUAAUGAACCUCAUACCUGUAUAUAAAUCAGAGGUUUGGUUUACUUGGGGUGCAGGGUCACCCGACGAACAUUGUGUGGUGUCAUCGAGGGGGCCAACAUAUGGCAUCCUACGAUUCCAACCAGUCUCCCCAUGUGGGGAGAAUAGUGGAUAUGACAAUGGGUCGUAGCACCCAUAGUAUGCUCUAAUAUAUAGGGGCCGGUCUCCUUUUUUUCCAUGUACGACAACACUUCUAUCAAAGCAAUUCUUUGGGUCGCUCCCUUCAACCCAUAUCGCUGCCACUUGAGAAGUCGUUGGGGCAUUGUACCUUCGUUGAUCCAAGUUGAUAUCCGUGUUUAGUGAGAUCCUAUACUCAUCUAGAUUUGGAACAGACCCAAGACUCUUUAAAACUUGUGCAUAAGGGUUAUGCUCAAGUAUUCGCAGAAUCUUUCGUAUGAGUUCUAUAUUAAGAUCUGGAGACCUCAUAGCCCUGUGAACCAAGUCUUGAUCUGUAUCAUAAAUAUAGAGCUGCAAAUGGCGAGGUCCAUUAUCAGCCGGCACCAGACCAUCAAGAGCGUGGUAUAAGCCACCACAUGCACGAAAUGUAUAUACUCCAGUUCCUACCGCAGUGCUUACUCGAUGAUCAAGAGUGACUCCUAGAGUUAUGAAUGAGAAGUGCGAGUGGAAAUAUCGUAUAUGCUCUCUGAAAUAUUUAGCAUCCUCGUCAUCUUGACUUGUAAACAACCGUUUCAGCUCUUUUGGAACGUCUGGAGUAAUAAUAUCGACUUUUCCUUUUCUGCAACAAAAUGCUGGGCCCUCAAAUGGAAACCGCAAUGCCCCACAAUGGCGGCAGUCGGGAACCUUUCUUAGGACAUGGUGCUUUGUAGGUAGGUUUCGGUAAAUGAAUUCAUCGGUAUUUGAUACUGGUGCUGCUCAUGGGCGUCCAAGUUGGUAAGAUUCAUAAGCAAGACCUAGCAUUAAAGAACAAUAUAUAUUAAAUUAUGAAUGAAUACCUAUGAGGCUCAUGGUAAAUUUGGAAAUAGACAAUGGACAUACCUUCGGCCAUAAAUAUUCUAGCUUCCUCAUCAGGCUCAUGGUACACAGAUUCUCCAUUUUGCAAUGGCGCCAAGCAGUCUAGUAGGCAAUAUAUUGGUCAAACAUAAAUGCCACAAAAUUGUCAACGAAGAACCUGAACAGUGAACGACUAAACAUAUAAUGUACCUUCAAAAUUGGGUUGUUGAACAACAGGCUCAAAUAUUCCAUAUGGAUCUUCUAUCUGGUCGUUGCCCACUACGAAAAACCACAAGAUAAGUAGAGCAUACAAAAUCAGGUACUAUAGUAGUCUAGGGUCAUAAAAAUUACUUUGUAGAUCUUGAGUGCUUUGAGUAUCAUCUGGAGACGGUUCUGCAGGGUGUCUCUCAUCAUUAGUUGGUGUCUUCAUUGGUUGACUGGAGCCAUUAAAAGGCUCUAUACCUGAAUAGACGAAAGAGAACCAGGAAUUGCGGUCAAAUAAACACUAUGGACACACUUCCACCAUAACUAAAUGGACGAACUAAACCGGACCUUGAAUUGAGAAAUCUGGGUUACGUAUUCUGCUAAGUUGGGGUGCCUGAACCCCUGAAAGUUGUGUGAGAGGCUCUGCAUUGUGUUCAAUUGACAGUAACUUUCAUUUAGAAGCUGAUUAUAGUUUUGUUCUUGUUUAGAAGAUUACAAACCAAAGCCAUUAAAGCAUACCUUGUGCAAUAUCUCUUACGACGGUGGAGAUUGAUUGCAUGUUAUGACCAAGAGGCAUAGCAACAGCUCUAAUGCGUCCACCAAUUUGUUGUAUCUGAUAUGCAUCAUUCCGGUGCAACCAAUCGGACUCCUCGUCGUAUGUUAAAGUAUUCUCCUUGUCGUGGGGGCAUGUUCAGCUGAUAGAGAUGAAUUUGGUAUAUUUGAUGCUACUGCAUGAAAAUUGUAGAUAACAUCAGUAAUUUUUUUUUGUUAUAUUCGAUAAGAUAACACCAUGCAAUCAAUAUGUUAUGGUAGCACAGAACCUUCAGACGCUAUUUGUUGUAGCUGGGUGACACCGGAUUGUCCUGUAGCUGGUGUGUGUGACACGGUGCUAUCGCUGGUGAGUAGGGUCGUAGUAGCCUUUCUCUGCUCACGUGAUGGGCGUUGUCGUUUUAAUAUUUCAUCCCUAUUUUGUGCAUACCGCUCCCUGUCCCUUUUCCUCCACAUUUCUUUAGGGUCUACAUAUGUAACGCCCUCGAUGCGACUAUAUCUCCCACGUGUUGAAGCACGACUUAGAGACAUAACCGCAUUGAAAGCAAUGUCGCAAAUUAGGUAAUCUUCACACAACCCAUGUAAUACAUAAGGGGAAAAGAUACAUAGUUGGCUUACAAUCGCCACUUCACACAAUACAUAAAUAAAGCAUUACAUCAUCCAGAUACAAUCAAGGCCCGACUACGGAGCCAAAAUAAAAGAAAACCCCAAAUGCGACAAGGUCCCCGAUCGACCCCAACUGGGCUUCACUACUGAUCAACUAGAACGAAACAACACAAAGGACAAGAUCUUCAUCGAGCUCCUCCUUGAGCUUGGUAGCGUCAUCUGCAUGGUUCAACGGCACCUGCAAGCUGGUUUUUGGAAGUAUCCGUGAGUCACGGGGACACAACAAUCUCACACCCUCGCGGUCAAGACUAUUUAAGCUUAUAGGAAGGGUAAAAGGUAUGAGGUGUAGCUGCAGCAAGCGACUAGCAUAUAUGGUGGCUAACAUACGCAAAUGAGAGCGAGAAGAGAAGGCACAACACGGUCGAUAAAAGUAUGAUCAAGAAGUGAUCCUAGAACAACCUAUGUCAAGCAUAACUCCAACACCGUGUUCACUUCCCGGACUCCGCCGAGAAGAGACCAUCACGGUUACACACGCGGUUGAUGUAUUUUAAUUAAGGUCAACUUCAGGUUUUCUACAAUCGGACAUUAACAAAUUCCCAUCUGCCCAUAACCGCGGGCACGACUUUCGAAAGAUCAUAUCCCUGCAGGGGUGUCCCAACUUAGCCCAUGACAAGCUCUCACGGUCAAUGAAGGAUAAACCUUCUCCCAAGACAUUCCGAUUAGACUCGGCAUCCCGGUUCUACAAGACAUUUCGACAAGUUAAAACAAAUCCAGCAACACCGCCUGAAUGUGCUGACAAAUCCCGAUAGGAGCUGCACAUAUCUCGUUCUCAGGGCACACUCAGAUGAGCUCUCCAUACAACUAAAACCAAACCUCGAGUUUCCCCGAGGGGGCGCUGCACAGGACUCUAGUUUGGACCAACACUCAGAGGAGCACUGGCCCGGGGGGGUUUAAAUAAAGAUGACCCUUGAGUCCGUGGAACCCAAGGGAAAAAGAGGCUAGUGGCGAAUGGUAAAACCAAUAUUGGGCAUUGCUGGAAGAGUUUUAUUCAAGGCGAACUGUCAAGGGGUUCCCAUUAUAGCCCAACCGCGUAAGGAACGCAAAAUCCGGGAACAUAAUACCGGUAUGACGGAAAUUAGGGCGGCAAGAGUGGAACAAAACAUUAGGUAUAAGGCCGAGCCUUUCACCCUUUACCAAGUAUAUAGAUGCAUUAAUUAAAUAAGAGAUAUCAUGAUAUCCCAACAAGUAAACAUGUUCCAACAAGGAACAACAUAGCCAUGUUCCAACAAGGAACAAACUUCAUCUUCACCUACAACUAACAACGCUAUAAGAGGGCUGAGCAAAGCGGUAACAUAGCCAAACAACGGUUUGCUAGGACAAGGUGGGUUAGAGGCUUGGUUCAACAAUAUGGGAGGCAUGAUAAGCAAGUGGUAGGUAUCGCAGCAUAGGCAUAGCAAAAGAGCGAGCAUCUAGCAAGCAAAGAUAGAAGUGAUUUCGAGGGUAUGGUCAUCUUGCCUGAAAUCCCGCAAGGAAGAAGAACGAUUCCAUGAAGAAGACAAACGGACGUAGUCGAAUGGGUCCUCACAAACGCGACGUUAUCAGAACCAACCCGAAGAAGCCACACCGGAAAGAAGCACACAACAUAGUAAACAACCAACACAUAAUCAUGGCAUGAUGCACAAUCAAGUAUGAUGCAUGUCCGGUUUAAUGAAGCAUGGCAUGGCAAAGUACACAAACAACACUACAAGUUAAGUGGCGUUGCAUAUUGACGAAACACCACGUGACUUAUUUAGUUCUCUCUCGUUUAUGUACUCAACAAUAUUAAAUGUUGAUAAGCAUGGCAAGAGGUGGAGCAAAUGAAAACUACCUAUCUAGUCAAGUUUAAAUGAGGCCGGAAACAACGAACAACAAUUUCGGAAACUCCUCAUAUGCAUAUAUUAGGUUUGGUACUGUUCUGCCCUAAACAUAAUUUUAGAGUUGUUAAGCAUGCAAAAUAAGGCCACCGUGUUAAACUAGGCAAAAUUCUACCCCAUUUACAUAUAAAGAUUAUUAUAAUCAGAGCUACGGUUAUUUAGUUAUGAAUUAAAUCAUUUUUACAUGGCAUAGGGGAAAAUAUAUGCAAACAGCAUUUUAAACAUUUUAAACAUGGAUGAAAGUGACAUAUUAUUUAUCUACAUAAAAUUCUAAGCAAGAUUCAUAUAUUAAGUUUUUACAUGUGAUGCUUAGUUAAUAAGUUAUUAUAUGCAUGAACUAUGAUGGGUUUUCUGUAAAUCUGCAAACUCCUGGAUAAAUAGAUAAAUCGCAGAUCCUAAAAAAACUAUACGAGCCGAAACAAAGGCCGGCCCACAUUGCAUAGGGGCUCGUGUGCUGCUCACCAUGGGCCAAAGGCCCAGAUCUGGAGUGGUUCGGCUUGACUGGCCGGCCGGGACGAGCUGGGCCUGGCCGAGGCGGUUGCUGGGCGCACGCGGUCAACGCGUGGCUGGACCGAGCGAUGCAGGCGCUCGUUCUGCUCGCACUAAACAGGGGCGCUGGCGGCUGGGAGCAGAGCUCCGGCGAGCGUGGCAAACGGCGGCGAGGCGAGGGACUUGGCGCGGCGGCGGCUUGUGGAAGAGCAACAACGAUGGAACUAGGUGCGGGUGAGGGACUUCGCGCUCGAGACGGACAGGAGGGCGCCGUCCUCGUCAGGAACCCUCGAAGACGACGACGACAGAGACUGCAGCAGGCAACGACGCAGCUUGGGCGGCGGAGCUGGAGCGAGGGAGGCGGCUGAGGGAGUGUGGUUGCCGGAGACGCGAUCCAGGGCGGCGGGAGUUGGGGCUCCAUGGCCACGGCGAGGAGUUCCAUGGGCGGCGGCGCUGUUCGUUCCUGCAGGGAGGCGGGGUGAGAAGCAGAGAGAUCGUGAGCGAGAGAGAGGAACAAAGAAGAAAAAAGGAGAGGUAAAGGGAGGCGCUGGCGUAGAAUCUCAUGUGCAUGCUCGCACACGAGCGCGAGGCUCUCCUCGGGUGGCUCCUGGAGGUAGCGCAAGGUCGAGGUGCUCGAGGAUGGCGCAGGUCGCCGUAGACGAGGUGGCAGAGGCAGGAGACGAAGCUGCUCGAAGCUCUCACAUGGCGGCGUUGAGGGAGCUCGAGAGGAGGCUCGGAUGGAUUGGCUGGAUCUGAACACGAGGAAGGAAAGUGGUUGCUGCGAUUCGUCUCGGGUGGAACUGGAUCGGGAGGGGAUCCCGAUGUGGGAGAGGAGUGGCGGCGGGGAGGGACAAGCCUCCUAGGUUUUAGGGUUAGGCUAGAUUUGGUAGGUGGUGGUCUAUAAAUAUAAGGAAAAGAAGGAGUUUGGAUCCUCCGAUCAAAAUCGGACGGUUCAGAAAGAAUAGGCUAGGGAGUCCAAAUAAGAAAACGGUGACGUUUUGUAGACGUUUGGGGAUGAUCCGGAUCCAACGGUGACGACUGCCCGGGUCGGGUCCGGGACAAUCUCGGACGCGCACGUGAGGGGUUCGAUGCACUGUGCAGAGAGGGUUUCGGACCGUGCGGUCGCAUCAGACAACUCCGGAAGUGAAGAGGGGAAGGAGGAUGGACUAGGUGGGUUGUGGCGAGACUGCGAGGGGAACAAGAGAGAGAGAGAGGGCUCGGCAUCUGUUUCCGGAGACCGAAAACGUCCGACAUUAGACCGGUUAUAAUGGCGCUAUAGUUAAUCGUUGGGGUGUCAAACGAACUCUGAAUGCGAUGAAACUUGACAGGCGGUCUAUCUAUACUAUAAUAAGACCACACGCCAACUUUCAUCCCAUUUCGAGAACAUUUUCCGGCCACUUAUAAAAUACUAUUACGGACAUGUCGCGGGCGCGUGCGAGUGUGUCUGGACUCAGAACGGACAAUGGAAGGAACGGGGAGAACCCGGACGGAUGCAGGUUUUGAAAACAUGAUGAUGCAAUACACAUGAUGACAAGAUAUGCAAUGCAUGACACGCAAGCAACGACAACACAACAACAACGAAUAACUGGAGGACAACUGGCACAUCGGUCUCGGGGCGUUACAACACUCCACCACUACGAGAGGAUCUCGUCCCGAGAUCUAGAAUGGCACCGGAGAGAAAAAUGGAAGAGAAAAGAAGAGGUAAAACUAAGUUGCUUCUUUGACAAACGAGUGAGAACAAAGAACCUUGAAAAGGUUAAGCCAUUACGAGUAAGAAUACAACGGAGAUGAACGAAGUUGAAAGCACUCCGUUAAGAAAGAGGAAUAAGAAAGAACCGAUUUGGGUAGCACUUCGGUUGAAAAGAGAUGAAGACUUGAUAAAAUGAAAGAGCUUAAGCAAAAGGGACACAACACUCCGGUUAAAUGGAUAAACCAAGAAAAUAACAUGAUCCUGACAAAACGAAAAGAUGAAACAUCACAAUGUCUCCGGAAGAAAAGAAUAGAAGUUAGAUCAUUGAAAUAGGAGAAUGGAGAAGAAAAUGCCAAAACCUGCCACAAAAGAGCUCGACAAGGCAUCUUUAGGAGAAGGGUCGAACGGAGUUGUUGGGAAUCCAACAACGAAAAGGAUAAGAUUGACAUGGACUUAUAGAAGACAUCUCAAAAUUAUGAGGUGACAACCUGUCACUCACGGGAAAAAGAAUUGGAUAGAUAAGAGCAAAUUGACGAGAAAGUAUAUCGCACCGGAAAGGAUAAAUGAAGAACUUGAAUCCUUUAUAAGCACCAUAAUAGCAAACAUCCUUAAAGAAGGCUUAAGGUGAAAUAUAAUCCAAGAUAACUCCAACGAAGAGGUUGAUGGAUUUAAAAUACCCCAUUCUCGAUAACUUGUGAAACAUGAAAUAAGAACUCAAAUUAUCAAGAAUGACAUAAUACCAUCUCCAAUAAUAUGGUAGAAAGAAUUGCACUCCUAAUUGCAAGAUGAAGAAACUUAAGCUCCUUAGAAAAGAAUGUUGAUGAACACUUCGAGAAGGAAAUUAAACCUUCAUGAAGAACUCCGGUAACAAAAAGAAUAACGAAAAUAAAAAUAAAGAGAAGUCGGAAAACACAAGGUGAAACCUUGUAAUUAUUUAGACGGAUCUCCGUGAUAAUUAGAGCUUGGAACUCCGGAAAAGAAAAGAUGAAGCACCUCGGACCGAGAAUGUGAUAUGAUGAACAACUCCGGGUUGAAGAAACUAGAUCACUUGGAUGAAACAAUAAUAAGAAUUACAUUAUGUGUAUCCUUCACCAAUUUAGAUUGAUGACAAGCACGGAUUUGGCAUACUACUUAUUCUCGUAGAAAGGAAUUAAAAUAGAUAUUGCGCAACCUUGGGAAGGUCUUCAAUGAACCACCGGUAGGAUUUGGAAAUAGUGAAUAAAUAAAUAUGAUAAAGGAGGAAGAGAAAUCUUGAACGAACCACCGUAAGAAUUGAAAAUGAACGAAGAAAAGAGAUGAAUCACCGGUAAGAAUUAGCAAAUGAACAAACAUACUUGAGGCAAUCUAGAUACAUGACAACGAAAGGAUCACGAAUUGAUUAGAGAAUAUUUGAAUGAUGCACCGGUAAGAUUUGGAGAACGAGAGCUGAAGGCUGAGAAUGAAUAAUUCUGAGAUGGUGGGCUCCGGAGAAUUAAACUGAAAAUACUCUGAAUUACUCCGGAUGGAUGAAAAGAAUAUCUCACAAUCGCAAAUAAUUAUGAGAGGAUGGCAACACGCUAGAAUCACGAAUCUUAAAGAGAAUGGAGCAAUAUUGAGAAAAAAAAUCUUCUUCGGUCUUCCAAUCUGAGAAUGACGACGAGAAACACCACCAUGAAUUAUUGAGGUACUCCGAAAUUAAAAUUGGAAAGGUUGAACCAAUGAUGAAAAGAAUUUGAAAGAUCUUGGCGAAAAACAUUUGACUGAUGACAGUUCAUUAUUACGUCAAACUUUGAAAAGAAUUUUACGGAUCUCUCUGGGAGAAUUAGAAAAGUCAGGUAAGAUCCUGGGAAAAGACCUGUGGGUUAGGGCCCACUCAAAAGAAACACCGUUGAAAUGAUUUCAAAGAGAGAAAGCACCAUUGAAUUAAAUGACUUGAAUGAGGGAACAUCCUCGAAAGAUCUUGAACGAAUGCAGAGUGGAAAACACAAAUCUUCGAGAUAUCUUCAGCACUCCGGAACAAUUAAAUAGCGAGAAGUGGAAUGGUUAUGAGGUGCACCGGCAUGAGAAAACAUUUGAAACGAGGAAAAGGAUGUGAUCAACAAAGCUUGACCUGAAACCACCGGAGAUGAAAAGAAUGAAAAAUGACGAACUUGGAGCUCCAUUAGAAUCUUCAUGAGAAUCACCAGAUAAGGACAUUGGCGGAAAAGGAAUGAAGAGACCUCACAUCAAUAAAAUGGAUACUUGAUGAAGAAAUCUGAGUCCUUGAAGAAACAAAGGGAGGGAGGGUGGGAAAAAACAAAGACAACCAGGGAAUGGAUGAAACAAACAACGUUGAGAGCUUAGAUUGAAUCUUACGGACGUAGAAAAUGGACGGACCCGCUUGAAGAGAAGCACACCGGUGGAAAAGAAUUGACGAGACAGUCUCGAUUAUCGAGAAGGAUUAGUACUCACAUAGAAGUAAGAGAACACCGCUUAGAAAAAGGCAUGGAAUCAUCAUUUGACUUCGAAGCAACUCGAAUACCACAACUGAAAACAAAACAAAGGAUUGGCUUGCAGAAUAAGCCGGAACAAACAUAUAAUAGAGAUUUUGUCCAAAGUUUUUGUGGUGGGGCCUACACGGGCUCGAUCGUACAUCACCAUCAUGUACAAGGCAGUGCACAUGACAUACGAAGCGUCCCCGAGUCGGCAUAGCCAAGGACUCUUUAAGACACAACGAGACCACUGUAAAAUCAACCGUGAAUAGGCGGACCACUAGACGUCGAACCCCAAUUUCAUAUCAUACAUCUGUCGGAAAGAAAUCCUAAGAGCUACUUGAAUUCUCACUUAUAAAUUCCCGAAAUUUUUCGGUUAUGCAAUCAGGUGUUAGGGAUACAGGGGAAGCAUAAUAGCUCACCCAAAUCUAGCAAAUCCUACAUCCAGCUGUAUCUAUCCUUCAACACAUAACCAAGAUACCUUCGGAAAUUGUCUACCUCAACCUUCGAAACUCAUCCGUUAUACAAGUUAUGGCAAUACUCUCGAACUCCCGCCCCAGUACUGGGUGGCGCCGAGGUUAUCUCACCAACGAACUGCAUAAAAGAGAUUUUCGAUGUCGGCGUACUAAACUCAGGUAUUUCAGAACUUCAACGAUAAAAUUGUGACGACAACACCUCGGAGCUCAACUCCCCGGGACACUGCCACAACCCCUAAAUGACAGGAGGCACCAAGAACAAUGUUCUCGUCACAAAUCCAUUGGAACGAUUCCAAGAUACCCGCGUGAUCCUAAAAUGUUUUUUUAGUGAAAUUUGAGAAAAGAAGAGUCAAAACUCUACAUCAGGAUGCCUUACCAGAGCGAUGAAGGGACUGGGGAGUAAAAAGAAUUGCUAAACUCUCCGAUAUAUAAUUCCUAGAUGACUCAAAACAAUUUUCUAGACUCAACAACGGCUGCUAAAAAUGAUCAAUCAGUGUGGGCACCUAAGGUCGGGGAAGGCUCUGAUACCAACUUGUAACGCCCCGAACACACCCGCCGGUGGUCGUUACUCCUGGCGGGAUCUAGACUGGCCCCAUAGAUCAAUACUAGUCUUUUCUGCGCACUUUGUCCUCACUCAUGCGCACCCGGGAGCAACUUCCCGGUCGGUCACUCAUCCUGACACUACUCCAAACUGAGCACGCUUAAUUUUGGAGUUCUGUCCGAAUGGGCUCCCGAAAAAGAAGGAAUUCCUUAUUGAUAUGAGUAGUCUAUCAUCCCUAAUAAGUCAGGCCAUCACAUACACCCCCACUCAGAGGAAUCGAUGUCCUCGUUGGGCCACAGGAACGCUCCCUCUUGGCACAUACGUCUGUGCAUCCAGUCCGAUACAUGUGCCAUGCCGGGUGCCACGACGGGUCACAAACGUCAUGAACAUGACCGCGCACCUGUCCGCAAACAUUCGUGUAACCGCAAGGGUCGGCUCUGAUACCAACUUGUAACGCCCUCGAUGCGGCUAUAUCUCCCACGUGUCGAAGCACGACUUAGAGGCAUAACCACAUUGAAAGCAAUGUCGCAAGUGAGGUAAUCUUCACACAACCCAUGUAAUACAUACGGGGAAAAGAUACAUAGUUGGCGUACAAUCGCCACUUCACACAAUACAUAAAUAAAGCAUUACAUCAUCUAGAUACAAUCAAGGCCUGACUAUGGAGCCAAAUAAAAGAAGAACCUCAAAUGCGACAAGGUCCUCGAUUGACCCCAACUGGGCUCCACUACUGCUCAACUAGAACGAAACAACACAAAGGACAAGAUCUUCAUCGAGCUCCUCCUUGAGCUUGGUAGCGUCAUCUGCACGGUUCAACGGCACCUGCAAGCUGGUUUUUGCAAGUAUCUGUGAGUAACGGGGACUCAGCAAUCUCACACCCUCGCGAUAAAGACUAUUUAAGCUUAUAGGAAGGGUAAAAGGUAUGAGGUGUAGCUGCAGCAAGCGACUAUCAUAUAUGGUGGCUAACAUACGCAAAUGAGAGCGAGAAGGCACAGCACGGUCGAUAAAAGUAUGAUCAAGAGGUGAUCCUAGAACAAUCUACGUCAAGCAUAACUCCAACACCGUGUUCACUUCCCGGACUCCGCCGAGAAGAGACCAUCACGGUUACACACGCGGUGGAUGUAUUUUAAUUAAGGUCAACUUCAGGUUUUCUACAACCGGACAUUAACAAAUUCUCAUCUGCCCAUAACCGCGGGCACGGCUUUCAAAAGAUCAUAUCCCUGCAGGGGUGUCCCAAAUUAGCCCAUGACAAGCUCUCACGGUCAACGAAGGAUAAACCUUCUCCCGAGACAUUCCGAUCAGACUCGGUAUCCCGAUUCUACAAGACAUUUCGACAAGUUAAAACAAAUCCAGCAACACCGCCCGAAUGUGCCGACAAAUCCCGAUAGGAGCUGCACAUAUCUCGUUCUCAGGGCACAUUCAGAUGAGCUCUCCAUACAACUAAAACCAAACCUCGAGUUUCCCCGAGGGGGCGCUGUACAGGACUCUAGUUUGGACCAACACUCAGAGGAGCACUGGCCCGGGGGGGGUUUAAAUAAAGAUGACCCUUGAGUCCGCGGAACCCAAGGGAAAAAGAGGCUAGGUGGCGAAUGGUAAAACCAAUGUUGGGCAUUGCUGGAAGAGUUUUAUUCAAGGCAAACUGUCAAGGGGUUCCCAUUAUAGCCCAACCGCGCAAGGAACGCAAAAUCCAGGAACAUAACACCGGUAUGACGGAAACUAGGGCGGCAAGAGUGGAACAAAACACUAGGCAUAAGGCCGAGCCUUCCACCCUUUACUAAGUAUAUAGAUGCAUUAAUUAAAUAAGAGAUAUCAUGAUAUCCCAACAAGUAAACAUGUUCCAACAAGGAACAACAUAGCCAUGUUCCAACAAGGAACAAACUUCAUCUUCACCUGCAACUAACAACGCUAUAAGAGGGGCUGAGCAAAGCGGUAACAUAGCCAAACAACGGUUUGCUAGGACAAGGUGGGUUAGAGGCUUGGUUCAACAAUAUGGGAGGCAUGAUAAGCAAGUGGUAGGUAUCACAACAUAGACAUAGCAAAAGAGCGAGCAUCUAGCAAGCAAAGAUAGAAGUGAUUUCGAGGUUAUGGUCAUCUUGCCUGAAAUCCCGCAAGGAAGAAGAACGAUUCCAUGAAGAAGACAAACGGACGUAGUCGAACGGGUCCUCACAAACGCUACGUUAUCGGAAACAACCCGAAGAAGCCACACCAGAAAGAAGCACACAGCAUAGUAAACAACCAACACGUAAUCAUGGCAUGAUGCACAAUCAAGUAUGAUGCAUGUCCGGUUUAAUGAAGCAUGGCAUGGCAAAGUACACAAACAACACUACAAGUUAAGUGGCGUUGCAUAUUGACGAAACACCACGUGACUUAUUUAAUUCUCUCUCGUUUAUGUACUCAACAAUAUUAAAUGUUGAUAAGCAUGGCAAGAGGUGGAGCAAAUGAAAACUACCUAUCUAGUCAAGUUUAAAUGAGGCCGGAAACAACGAACAACAAUUCCGGAAACUCCUCAUAUGCAUAUAUUAGGUUUGGUACUGUUCUGCCCUAAACAUAAUUUUAGAGUUGUUAAGCAUGCAAAAUAAGGCCACCGUGUUAAACUAGGCAAAAUUCUACCCCAUUUACAUAUAAAGAUUAUUAGAAUCGGAGCUACGGUUAUUUAGUUAUGAAUUAAAUCAUUUUUACAUGGCAUAGGGGAAAAUACAUGCAAACAUCAUUUUAAACAUUUUAAACAUGGAUGAAAGUGACAUAUUAUUAAUCUACAUAAAAUUCUAAGCAAGAUUCAUAUAUUAAGUUUUUACAUGUGAUGCUUAGUUAAUAAGUUAUUAUAUGCAUGAACUAUGAUGGGUUUUCUGUAAAUCUGCAAACUCCUGGAUAAAUAGAUAAAUCGCAGAUCCUAAAAAAAACUAUACGAGCCGAAACAAAGGCCAGCCCACAUUGCAUAGGGGCUCAUGUGCUGCUCACCAUGGGCCAAAGGCCCAGAUCUGGAGUGGUUCGGCUUGACUGGACGGCUGGGACGAGCUGGGCCUGGCCGAGGCGGUUGCUGGGCGCACGCGGUCAACGCGUGGCUGGACCGAGCGAUGCAGGCGCUCGUUUUGCUCGCACUAAACAGGGGCGCUGGCGGCUGGGAGCAGAGCUCCGGCGAGCGUGGGAAACGGCGGCGAGGCGAGGGACUUGGCGUGGCGUCGGCUUGUGGAAGAGCAACAACGAUGGAACUAGGUGCGGGCGAGGGACUUCGCGCUCGAGACGGACAGGAGGGCGCCGUCCUCGUCAGGAACCCUCGAAGACGACGACGACAGAGACUGCGGCAGGCAACGACGCAGCUUGGGCGGCGGAGCUGGAGCGAGGGAGGCGGCUGAGGGAGUGUGGUUGCCGGAGACGCGAUCCAGGGUGGCGGGAGUUGGGGCUCCAUGGCCACGGCGAGGAGUUCCAUGGGCGAAGGCACUAUUCGUUCCUGCAGGGAGGCGGGGUGAGAGGCAGAGAGAUCGUGAGCGAGAGAGAGGAACAGAGAGGAAAAAAAGGAGAGGUAAAGGGAGGCGCUGGAGUAGAAUCUCAUGUGCAUGCUCGCACACGAGCGCGAGGCUCUCCUCGGGUGGCUCCUGGAGGCAGCGCAAGGUUGAGGUGCUCGGGGAUGGCGCAGGUCACCGUAGACGAGGUGGCAGAGGCAGGAGACGAAGCUGCUCGAAGCUCUCACAUGGCGGCGUUGAGGGAGCUCGAGAGGAGGCUCGGAUGGAUUGGCUGGAUCUGAACACGAGGAAGGAAAGUGGUUGCUGCGAUUCGUCUCGGGUGGAACUGGAUCGGGAGGGGAUCCCGAUGUGGGAGACGAGUGGCGGCGGGGAGGGACAAGCCUCCUAGGUUUUAGGGUUAGGCUAGAUUUGGUAGGUGGUGGUCUAUAAAUAUAAGGAAAAGAGGGAGUUUGGAUCCUCCGAUCAAAAUCGGAUGGUUCAGAAAGAAUAGGUUAGGGAGUCCAAAUAAGAAAACGGUGACAUUUUGUAGACGUUUGGGGAUGAUCCGGAUCCAACGGUGACGACUGCCCGGGUCGGGUCCGGGACAAUCUCGGACGCGCACGUGAGGGGUUCGAUGCACUGUGCAGAGAGGGUUUCGGACCGUGCGGUCGCAUCAGACAACUUCGGAAGCGAAGAGGGGAAGGAGGAUGGACUAGGUGGGUUGUGGCGAGACUGCGAGGGGAAGAAGAGAAAGAGAGGGCCCGGCAUCUGUUUCCGGAGACCGAAAACGUCGUUAGACCGGUAAUAAUGGCGCUAUUGUUAAUCGUUGGGGCGUCAAACGAACUCCGAAUGCGAUGAAACUUGACAGGCGGUCUAUCUAUACUAUAAUAAGACCACACGCCAACUUUCAUCCCAUUCCGAGAACAUUUUCCGGCCACUUAUAAAAUACUAUUACGGACAUGUCGCGGGCGCGUGCGAGUGUGUCUGGAUUCAGAACGGACAACGGAAGGAACGGGGAGAACCCGGACGGAUGCAAGUUUUGAAAACAUGAUGAUGCAAUACACAUGAUGACAAGAUAUGCAAUGCAUGACACGCAAGCAACGACAACACAACAAUAGCGAAUAACUGGAGGACAACUGGCACAUCGGUCUCGGGGCGUUACAACAUAGAUGAGAAAGCUAGUUAGUAUCAACAAAUAGGGUUCACUGUAGUUGGUUGAUCGUCAUUACCAAUGGGCAUGGACAUCGGUGUUUGUGUUUCAUCUUCAUGGACACUGAUAUCGGCGGAAGCGUCAGCCAUUUUUUUGUUUCUUUAGGCGUGACGUUGUCUCUUUAAUAUUUCGUCUCUAUUUUGUGAAUACCGUUCCCUAUCCAGUCGCCUCUUCAGCUCCGUAGGGUCUACAUGUAUGAUUUAGAGUAUCAUAAGUUACCUGAAUAAUACGUAAGCAUGCAGUAUAUGGCCAUACUUACUUUGGGACAUGGCUAGGGGUGUGUCUGGCACAUUUUGCUCAUCAUUCGGCAGAGGUUUAUCAUUCUGCUUCUUUAAACGUGCCUCACGACGUCUUUUCAGAAUGUCCUCUCUAUUUCGUGCAUAAUAUUCUUUGUCCCUCUGCCUCUUAAUUUCUUUAGGGGCUGUUUAAAUAUACAAUGGAAAUUAGCACAUUUGUUAUAGAAGUGUUCAUCAACCCAGAAAAAAAGAAGCGCUCAGUUGGCUGAUAGUUACCCGAGGAAUGGAUGUUGCUUAUAUCCUGAAAUGGGGUGCGUGCCCCCGAGUGAUUUGGAGAAGUCAUAACGUCGACUUCGUAGACUGAAUACUCCAGUCAAAAAUCUGUCAAGAGGGUUGACUGGAAGCAUAUAUUAGUUAGAAUUAGAUUCAAGUUAUGUUGUCAUAAAUCUGUAGAUUGCAUUUUCUUAAAGCACAAGGAAGUUAGAAGAUAACUUGCAAGAACAAGAAGAAAUGUGUAAUAUUAAAAUCUUGCCUGAUGUUUUCAGAGGAUGACACAGGUGAUGCAAGGAACUGACGACCUGUUUGCAGCGAGAAGGUGAGGCAGGAGCAGCCGCGCAUCUAAUGGCCAGUGGAGGGCGGCGAGGGAAGGCGGCGGUGUUUUCGUGCGGCGAGGUCGCCGUCCAGGAAGGCGAAAGCGAUGAUGUUUCUGAGCGGCAAGGGGAUAUCGGUGGGAUAUGUUUCUUGUUUUUGGAUUUGGAUUUGGAAGGUCUAUUAUUAUUUGUGGGAAUGGGGGAUACGUGAUUGUAGGGAUUGUGUUUCCUUUCGCAUGGAAGUUUUUCUCCACGGUGGAGUACGGUCAGUCAAUGUAAAUUAGUAAGUGCACACCAGAAAACAUAUCAGGUGAAGGCUAGCCGUUGGAUAUAUAUUAGUGGGGAUAAUCAUGCGGUAGUAGUGGGUUCGUGUAUGUUUUGUGGGGUGCGUUUAACAAAGAUAAUGUUUGCUCUUUUAUUAGUAGUGGAUGGAAGUGGAUAGUGGAUGGAUUAGGACAACUCCACCGCGCGACCCUAUCCUGUCCGCCUCCGUCCGUUUGGGGUAAAACGGACAAACGAGGCGGCCCAGCGCGCGGGAGCAAACGAACCUUUGUUCGUUUUGUGUCCGCUUUCGACCCAUCCGCAGUCCAAGUUUGUGCCGCUUUUGGGGUGAAAUGGACACCAUGCGGACGCGCAGGCCGUCUUCGUAUGUCCUCCCCUGGCCCGCCCGUCGGUGGCACAGGGCGGGCCUUUUUCUAUCCGCCCUCCUCCCUCCCUCCGGCCGCACCCCCCUUCACUCUUCUCCACUCUUCCCCUCGCUGCCGCUGCCGCCAUUGCAGCCGUGCAGUUCGGUCGCGCGCUCGCCCAACCCCUUUCGCUCGGCGCCGCGGAGCUACCCAACCACAGCCACCUGGCUUGCGCACUCCCGGCCGGAUUUGGGGCGGAUCCGGUCGGUCUUGAGCUCGCCCGGCUGUGGGAGGCCGGGCCGCGCCAUGGACUGGCCGGGCACCUCGCCGAAAGGCCCUGGUAGGGCCGCAAAGCCACAUGCAGGUAGUGGCUUCUCCUCUAGCCGCUCGGAUCUGCAUCGUCGGUGGUCCGCCGGCAGAUACACGAAUGGCGGUCGGCCAGGCUCGGUGCUUGCCCAAAAGCUCGUCGGCGCACCGUUGCCACUCAUUAAGUGCGACCACUGCCCAAGGAUGGUCGUGCGCCGCAUGUCUACAACGCCGGAACAUCCCGAAUGGGUGUUUAUCAAGUGCUUAAACGAUGGGGUAUGUGCUCUUUUUAGCUUCGGUUUGUGCUCUAGAUUUGACUAGUUGUGCUAACUUCAAAUUUUAUUGUGUAGCAUGGAUGCAAGUUUUGGUAUUGGGGAGAAGAGUACAUCGAUAUAUUGAUAGAGCGAAAUUUAGUACAUGUUCGUGCACUUUUAGCUAGCAUAAAGGUUGUAAAUGAGACAAGUGCACUUGUUGCUAGAUUAGAGGCUAGACACGACACUAGGUGUGAGGAAGCAACAUCUACUUCUGGCUUGAAGAAGAAAGGAGGAUGCUAGAUCGAGCCUCCUCCACAGAUCAGCAAUGAGUGCAUCGAGAAGAUCCUAACCCAACUUAAGGGAGAAGUUAUGGAAGUUGGGUAUCUUCUAAAAUGUAUUCUUGUGGUUAUUUUUUUGUCUUGCUUUACUAGUCAAAAUGUGAUGAUGUAUUUUUCAUGUACCAAAAAUGAAUAACGAAAAAAAGUUAAAUACUUGCAAAGAAAAAUGCACGCGGACAGGAUGCGGCCGGGAUGCGUCCGCACGCUGGGCGCACGGCCACCGCAUCCGAGGACAGGCCCGAACACGACCUCAUUGCCCUACCCAAACAGACAGAAUCCGAACAAAACGGACGUUCGUUUGGGGUCGCGCGAUGGAAUUGGCCUUAUACUCAUGUAAAGAAUGUUGGAGUACUCAUCUCCUAGGGGCUUCGGCACGAGAGUGCCCUCCUCGCCAUCUGUUUCGCACACGCCUCCCGCGUAUGGCUCCCUCACACGCCCUCGGCCAUCCGAUCCCCGGGGCGCCCCGCACCUGGUUGCCUUUCCUCGAGGGUCCAUGACACAUGGGUCGUGUGCGGCCGGGCCCCCCUCUCUGUGGUGGUUUUCGUUGUGCUCGCCUGUGUUGCCAGAUGCAUUGCCCCGCGUGUGUCGGUUGGCCUGUCAGCAUUGUUUGUCCCUUGCCGGGUUGUUUCGUUCAUGCCAGCAGGGUACGCCCAUGCGUGAAGCCUACCCGGUUGUGCGUGUGCAUGCCGAACGGUUCAAGGUGCUGGUUGGGAGCUAGGUGGUCGGAGUGGGCUGCUCGAAUGUUGGAUGUUGGUCGACUGCCAUCUGCCUCAUGUUGCCCUGGACCCGUGUGUUAUUUUGUUCGCUUGUGCGGGGGUGCCUGAUGUUGGGCCAUCGGCUAGAGGCAACCAUAGUGUGUGGGGUCUUUCCGGUUGUGCUUUGAUGUCCCACAUGUGUAGGAGGGUCAACUGUAGAUCUUUUUGAUAAGUAAGAGUAUUGAUCCCACAAGGAGUUGAAAGAAUAGUAAGCGCAAAAAUAACAAGGUUUCACUGCAAGUACUAAAAGGUGUGAUGAUUUUGUGUUUUAUGGGUGUAGUGAAACAAUGGAACGCGAGCAACAAUAAAAUUGUUAAAGAGUGCGACAAGUGGCUUAAUCCUUGAUAUUGUCAGACAAGCUGGUUGUGUUACUUAUGAUGAUUAAAUAUUCUUGAAGACGGCGGGAUAACGAUAUAGUUGUCAAUUUUCAUAUAUAACUUGCAUUGAUUGUUGUUGCUUAUUCAAUAUUGUAGGGAUAGAGUCUAAUUUAGUAUGUAUCAAAACCAUUGAAUGCACAUACUUAUGAUUGUUCUUUCAAUGAGUUACUCAAAUACUAAGAUUUAUUAAUGUAAAUACCCAACCAUAGCUAUAACUUUUUCUAGGGUCCAUAUUCACCCUUACGUCACAACUCAUUAAUUCAGCAAACGGUAAUACCUGUCACUCCAACCUCACAUCCAACCAUAUUAUGACACAAUAUAAAGAUGAAGUGUUAUGCAGUCAAGGUUCACACAACACCACUAGAGAAUUACACUACAACAAGAUUAAUCAACAACCUUUACUUUAAUUAAAUACUGCACUUGACAACUAGCAUUCUCCCAUAUCCUUAAGAACGCAAGGGAACUACUCAGAACACUGUUGGGAAAGGUGGUAGAAAAAAAACCGUCCUAUGAUCACGAUCCAGGAACACUAUGAAGAUGCAUUAGAGGUUUAGAUUGGAUAGUUACCAACUUUGAGUUGCAGCGGAAGAAGAGUUGGCGUAGAUUGUUGAUGAAGUCCCUAGAACCGUUCAUGUACGAUCCCUCAAACUAAAGACCAAAAGCACGACCUCUCUAUAGGUUGCAAGCGUACAACAUUCAUGAUCUGGCAGCGCUUCAUCGUCGGGAGCUAUCGUCGCCAGAGAAUUAGAGAGAAAAGAAGAGAACCGCACAUGGCUUCUCUAUUAUGAGGAUUAGAGAGAACUAGGUCUAUCUCUAAUUUAGAUCAACUCUAAAUUAGAACUACAACUAGAGAAUUAGAGUAGGCUCCAAAACUUGUGUCUCCAGAGACCAUAAUCCUCUAGUAUACAUAGGUUGAGGAGAGAGGAAGGGGUGGCCAACUUGGGGAAGGGUUUCCCCUCUUCGUGCACCGGCCUAGGGGAGUAAUAUUUUAUCCCCUCUUUGUCCAACUCCACCUCCCAAUUCGGCUUCCCAUUGGGGCGCCUUCACUAAUGGACCUUAGGGACCAUUAACUUUUCCCUAAUAGGCCUUUUAGUAUUUUCUUUAGCCGUUGAUAUCAAAUAAAUUCUAAAAGCCUCAUAAUCAAUAUUAGAACCUUUUAUCAUUUAUUUAAAGUCUUCGAAAAUAUUUUUCGCCUAUAUAUCAUUUCCUAGUAUUACCCGAUAAACCCCGAAACUCUUCCGGUAACCCUAAAAAGCUUUCGGUUUCUCUCGAAACUAUUUUCGAUGUUCCCAGAACUAUUGCGAGAAUUUUUUUCCUCAUAACUCUUACUCCACUAGCACUCAAUAGAUCGUGAUUCCCUUAAGCUUGUGACCCUGUAGAUUCGGUAAAACAUCGACGUGAACGAAACUCCCUUUUGUUCAAUGAUCAAUAGCGGGAACCGUGGAAAUCCAUAUUGAUCCCUAUGAAUACACGAAUGAUACUCGAGUGAACCUUUUGUUAUCGUAUGUUAUUCCCUUUGCUUCGUGAUACUUUAUGAAACCCAAGAUGAGAUAUACCGAUAUCCCCUUGAGUCAGUCUCAUGCUCAUUAUACCAGUCUCCUUGUUACUGGUUUUGUUCUUCUUUCUCGUUGUCAUGUUCUGGCAUCCCUGUGACCUAGUCACAUCUGGCCAGACGCACCAUCUAGUCCUUCUCCUAAGCUCUAUGGGUCUCUUCUUGUCCAUAAAAAAUCACCAUAAAUUUUCGUGCAUUUGGACUUGUUUGGUAUGGAUUUUUUGGAAAACCAAAAACAUGCAGAAAACAACAACUCAUUGGCACUAGGUUAAUAGGUUAGUUCAUGAAAAUCAUAUAAAAAUGCACUAAAACCAUAUAAAAUCAUUGUAAACAUGGCAUGAAUACUUCAUAAAUUAUAGAUACGUUGGAGACGCAUCACCGGUCACUGCAUCCUAUUGGGCGAGCUCAAAUCCGAGCUAGGUGAAGUGAAAAGAACGGGAGGGGGGUAGGGGUGACUGUACGACUUAUCGGCGUCUCGGAGAUGCAGCAAGACUGCAGGAGAUGCCAGGAAAGCGGCGGCGUCAGGCAUGGGCAGGGGCGGCGUCUGUUAAGAAAUCCGCAUAGUAAUGGAUGCCAUGAGUCCAUAAAUUGUGCAUAAAUUAGUAUAAGCCUGUAGAAUAAUUCUUAACAGAAUUACUAUGUAGAUCAAACAAAAUAGGCAAAUAGCACCUGGUAGUAUGUCUCGGGUGGAUGUAGUACUAACUCAUGACUAAAUUCUGAUAUGUAGCUUUACGUGACGAAUAGUAGUAGUAGUAACUGGCUGAUCUAGGAAGAAUAUCUCAUGAUACCACCCUUAGAGCAACUCUAGCAGAUCCCGCAAAAAUACGACCCACAAAACGUGUUUGCGGGUUUACGAAAAUCGCUUUUGCGGGUCAAAAACAUACGCGUCCGAGCAGAACCCAUAUCUAAACCUGCAUAAUUUGAAAAACUUCUUUUGCGGGAGAAAUUGCGCAAACACAGUUCAUCACACAUACUAUAUUGUUCAUCGCAUACUACAUAGUUCAUCAAACUACAAGCAUAGUUAUACUACAUACUGCGUUAAACUAGUACUAGGGGGUAACGGCGGCGAGGUCGUGGCAACUGGAUGACGCCGUGGAGGAGCCGGACGCUCACUCGUCCUUGCUGGAGCUGCAGAGAUCGAUGAACUUCUCCGCCUGCUCCGCGCGGAUGCGGCGCCACUCCUCGGCCUUCUCCUUGGCGGCGAGGUUGGAGGCGACCGUCUGCCGCCACUCGAGGGCUUCGAGCUCCUCGGCGUGGCGCCGACACUCCUCCUCCUCGCGCACGCUCCGCUCGGCGAUGGCGGCUGCGACGGCGUCGAACUCCGCGACGAAGUCCUCGGGCCCGACGACUCCGCGGCGGCCGAGUGGAGCGGGGUCCUCGGUGUAAGGGCAUAUUUUUCCCUAAGUGUUUUGGUGAUUGAUGAAAAUGCUUGUGCGGACUAAUCGUGUGCCUUGAGUCCCUCAGAUUUCUCAUCAUUAGGUACAAGACGAUUCAGUGCCCCUCGGAGACUGUUGAAGCCGGCAUUGUUCUACGUUUCUCCUUGGUGGAGUUGAGUCGUAGGAGAGCCGUACUAUUAAGAGGGGGUCCGCGUCGGAAAGGUAGGGUGGAAUCACACGUACACUUGUCCCUCCUUUCCUUGCACUUUGGAGCUACCCGUCAUUAUCUUGGUUGUGUGGAAAACUGGCGACUACUGCUGUACUUGCGGUAGUACCGCAGGUACGAGCGGUAGUACCGCGGCUCUUAACGGUAGUACCGCCCCCUUGGUGCGGUAGUACCGCGGCUCCAUGGCCUAGUGCCGCUCCGGUGCGGUAGUAGGGGGCGGAUGUAAUUUUUUACAUCCGCGCCAUUCACGGUAGUACCGCUCGUCCAGCACGGUAGUACCGUGGUGGCCCACGGUAGUACCGCUCCCUUGGAGUUGUAGUACCGUGGCCCUUUCGGCCUAGUACCGCAGUGUCGCGGUAGUAGGCGCGGAUGAAAUUUUUUUCAUCCGCGCCGACCACGGUAGUACCGCGCCUCGCAGGCGGUAGUACCGCAUCGGGUUUUCGCACCACCCUAGUUUCUGCGGAAGUUUGCACGGAUGUAAUUUAUUUUCAUCCGCGCCCUUCCCAGGCCGUGACUCUCCUGCCUUGCGGUAGUACCGCAACGGGGAGCGGUAGUACCGCACGAGCGGUAGUACAACCCCUUCUUCAGGCUUGUUCCGGCCUGUGCAGUUGCCACGGUAGUACCGUGGUGGACCACGGUAGUACCACGCGGCGCCGCGGUAGUACCGCGUCCUUGGAGCGGUAGUACCGUGUGUCGCGGGCAGAACUAGUGGAUAACGGUUGGAUUUUUUCCACGACUAUAUAAGGGUUGUCUUCUACCUCUAGUUGACUACCUCUUCCAUCUCUAAGCUCCAUUGUUGCUCCAAACUCCAUUUUCCCCCGAUCUCUCUCCCUAGCCAAUCAAACUUGUUGAUUUGCUCGGGAUUGGGUGACAAGGGCCCGAUCUACACUUCCACCAAAGGAUAUUUGAUUCCCCCCAUUUAUCCCUUGCGGAUCUUGUUACUCUUGGGUGUUGAGCACCCUAGACGGUUGAGGUCACCUCGAAGCCAUACUCCAUUGCGGUGAAGCUUCGUGGUGUGGUUGUUGUUGGGAGCCUCCGAUUGUUGUGGAGAUUGCCCCAACCUUGCUUGUAAAGGUUCGGUCGCCGCCUUCAAGGUCACCAAUAGUGGAAUCACGGCAUCUCGCAUCAUGUGAGGGCGUGAGGAGAAUACGGUGGCCCUAGUGGCUUCUUGGGGAGCAUUGUGCCUCCACACCGCUCUAACGGAGACGUACUUCCCUUUAAAAGGAAGGAACUCCGGUAACACAUCCUUGUCUCCAUUGGCUCCACUAUUGGUUAUUUCGUGCCUUUACUCUCGCUUGCUUACUUAUUGUUACAUCUCUUGUUUGCUUGCAUGCUAGUUGAUAUUGCAUCAUAUAGGUUGCUCACUUAGUUGCAUAUCUAGACAACCUAUUUGUUGCAAAGUUUAAUUUGGUAAAGAAAAGGUUAAAAAUUGUUAGUUGCCUAUUCACCCCCCCCCCCUCUAGUCAACCAUAUCGAUCCUUUCAAUUGGUAUGAGAGCCUCGUCUCUUUAUUAAGGACUUUGUCGUCCGAAGAGUAUGGUUGACACCAACGAUGGUGCGGAGGAACACUCCGGUGUGAAUCCCAUCUCAUCUUCGGCCGAAGGGGGAACCUCGGUCUCUCGUGAGGAGUUCAAUGUGGCUUUAGACACAUUGAAAACCUCCAUGACGGCCGAGGUUAAAAGCAUGUUUAAUGAUUUCCUAGAGGGACUCAAACUAUCUACCGCGCCUAUGAAAGUGGGUGAUCCUACUAACAAGGUGACAGAUGCUAUCUCCGACAAAGGGGAAGCUAACAAUGAAAAGAGUCCUUCUACUAGUGGUAGAAAUGGCACCGGCAUCUUUGCCCAUGUGGAACCACCGGUUUAUGGAGGGCCUAUCCCCUCCACUCAUUUGAAUCAUGCCGGUCCACCUCCUAAAUAUGAGAAACAUGAAGAUUUUGAUAAUUGGGUCUAUCGCUUUAAGCGUCAUUUGAAACAUGUGAACACUAACCUUUGGAGAAUCAUUGAAGAAGGUUUUUAUCCUCAUGACCCAAGCAACUUCACCCCUCGAGAAGCCGUGGACAAUCAAUUCAAUGAAAGUGCUCUCUUCAUCAUCCAAGAUGCAAUCCUUCCCGAAGAUCUCCCUCACCUUCGACCCCAUGUCGUGGCUAAAGAAGCAUGGAAAUGUGUCGAGGGUCUCUAUCGUGGAAGUGCUAGCAUUCAACGGUCCAACUAUGAGGUGGUGCAAGAUGAAGCCGAUGAGUUUGCAAUGAAAGAAGACGAAGAACCUCGUGAGCUCUUUCGAAGAGUGACUGAUGGGGUUAUGUACCUAGGGUAGGGUCAUGGACCUGAUCUAAGUACCUUACCCAAGGACACCCUUAGAAGAAGACGCCUUCCAGUCGACCAACGAGGGACACACUCGACUGUCUUGAAGGACUCGACCACGAAGACUCACUCGACCACCAGAAGGUCAGGAGGCACUUUGCACUGCAACGGCCUGUAAUCAAGUAGACUUUAUGAUAGUAAAGGCACUUUAUGUGGGGCGUUACCAGCAACGCCCCAGACUUAACUCACCUUAAACCCUCUCCUACGUGGGCUGGCUGGGGUCCUGGCACACUCUAUAUAAGCCACCCCCCUCCACAGGCAGAAGGGUUCGGCACCUUGUAACUCAUAUACUCAUAAUCCACUCGACCGCCUCCGGGCUCCGAGACGUAGGGCUGUUACUUCUUCCGAAGAAGGGCCUGAACUCGUACAUCCCUGGUGUUUACAACCUCUCCAUAGCUAGGACCUUGCCUCUCCAUACCUACCCCCCACUCUACUGUCAGGCUUAGAACCACGACAGUUGGCGCCCACCGUGGGGCAGGUGUUUUAGCGAUUUUGUGGAGAAGUUGCGAUUCUUCCGAGUACUUUCAUCAUGGUGUCUGCUGGAGUUUUGGUCGGGGGUCAAGAGAUCCGUCUCGGCACUCUCACCUUCAUCGCCGACGACUCCGUGUGGCUCCAUGAGGCUCCACUCGACGUUGAUGCGCUCCCUGUCCGCGGUGCGACGCAUUUUCGUGCAUAUGUCCGCGGCGUUCUGCUGCGGCAACCGUCGACCCAGUAUCGGUCGGCUCCUCCAUCGUCCACCCUCCCGGUAUCCCGCCAGCGCAAGCGCUCGGGCCGGUCAAGGCUUCAGCGAUGGGUGAGGCACGCGGUGGCUCGCCAAUCGGCCACCACCCAAGUUGCGGCAAUCGAGCCCGACGAAUCUCUCUACGGCUUGUUCGAUCUGUCGACUGGCUCCGUAGAGACUGCAUCCGAGUGCGGUAGCAGUGAUCCAGCGGCGGAAAUCUUGAUGGUCGACGGGCCCCACAGUCCCCCUGGCUUCGCCCGUGGUGGUGGAGCAGGUGACGGCGGCGACCCUACACGAGGCUACGAAGAGUACCAGCCCGAGCCACUCGACUCUCUGCAAAGAGAGGAACUUUGCUGCAGGAACGAGGAUCCCCUGCGUAUUCCCAUCGCAGGAGAAACCCCCGAGGCUCGUGCCUUGGAGGAGGCGCGUCUGGCCAAUUUGGCCGAGCGCACUCGACUGGAGAACCUUCAUCGAGCACUCGACGAGCGCGCGCGGCAACGAGUUCCCGACACCAGUCGACGUCAACUCUACCCGCCAACUCAGGUAUAUCGAACCCCAAUUCAGAAUUUAGCAGCUGCGACCCGUAUAGCAGAGUCCAUCCAGCCUUCGCAGUCGGAAGCUGGCAGAGGUUUGCUGCAGAUCAGGGAUCUGCUCCGGGCAGCAGGAGAUCAGAAUUCAGCCGUGUCUCAGUCGCGCAACAGAAUUCACAGUCGAUCCGUCACUGUGAAUACGGUUCAGUCAGCUCAUAGCCCCAGAUCGCCUCCGCGGCGUGAAGGGCGCGAGAAUCGGCGAGAUCAAUAUGGCGACAGACUCGACCGAGAUGAUAGGCGUCGAGUGCCCAAUUCCCCUACGAGGGGUGGGUCUUACGCUCCUCGGCAGCCAGAUGAUAGGCGUCAGUACAGUACAGGGCGUAGGGUUCCAGUCGACCCCAGAGAACCAGGCUUCGACGCGCGAUCCAUUAUCGUGCAAGGAUUGGUCGACCAGAACAGAGCCCAUCGAGGUGGACUCGACAGAGAUGUACCCACAAGCAGUCGAGUGCAUGUUUCUGGUCCUGAAUGCUUCAGCAGAGCUAUCAGAGCCGCAGUUAUCCCUCCCAAUUUCAGGUUGGCAACAGGAGUCAGCAAGUUCACUGGUGAGUCUAAGCCUGAAACUUGGCUUGAAGACUACCGAGUGGCAGUUCAGAUUGGUGGUGGGAACGACGAGGUGGCCAUGAAGCACUUGCCCCUCAUGCUGGAAGGUUCUGCCAGGGCAUGGUUGACUCAACUACCUCCUAGCAGCAUUUACACUUGGGAAGAUCUGUCCCGAGUGUUCAUCAGAAUGUUUGAAGGAACUUGCAAGCGACCAGCUGGAUUGACAGAGUUGCAAGUCUGCGUGCAGAAGGCUAAUGAGACUCUCAGAGAGUAUAUUCAGAGGUGGAUCACUUUGCACCACACUGUGGAGAAUGUGUCUGAUCAUCAGGCAGUCUGCGCCUUCAAAGAUGGUGUCAAGAACAGAGAACUGAGUUUGAAGUUUGGUCGAACCGGUGACAUGACCUUGAGUCGGAUGAUGGAGAUUGCUACCAAGUACGCCAACGGCGAAGAAGAAGACCGACUCCGAAGCGGCAAGCACAAGCCGAGUCAGUCGGAAAAAGGAAACACCAGUCGGAAACAGAAGCGGAAGGCUGAACCGGCAGCUCCUGGAGAGGCUCUGGCCGUGACUCAAGGAAAGUUUAAGGGGAAACCAAAAGGAUCCUGGAACCCCAAGAAGGUAAAGGAUAAAGAAGGGAACGACGUAAUGGAUAUGCCAUGUCACAUCCAUACGAAGAAAGACGAAGAGGGGAAUAUCAUCUACCCGAAGCACACCACUCGCCAUUGUCGACUCCUGAUCCAGCAGUUUCAGGGAAAACAGUCUAAGGACAAGGAGAAGGAGUCGGACAAAGCCGAAGACAAGGAGGACAGUGAGGAAGGAUAUCCACAUAUCAACUCCACUCUGAUGAUCUUUGCAGAUGUGGAAAGCAGGAGUCGACUGAAAGUCAUUAACCGAGAGGUGAACAUGGUUGCCCCAGCAAAAGCAAAUUAUCUGAAAUGGUCUCAAACACCCAUCACAUUCGACCAAUCUGAUCACCCGAUUCACAUUGCCACCCCUGGGAGGCAAGCUUUGGUGGUCGAUCCAGUGGUCGAAGGCACUCGACUGACAAAGGUGCUGAUGGAUGGUGGAAGCGGACUGAAUUUGUUGUAUGCAGACACACUGAAAGGAAUGGGCAUUCCGAUGUCCCGACUGAGCACUAGUAACAUGAGCUUUCAUGGAGUUAUACCAGGGAAGAAAGCCGAGUCACUCGGCCAAAUAGCUUUGGAUGUGGUGUUUGGUGAUUCGAAACACUUUCGCAAAGAAAAGUUGACAUUUGAGGUCGUGGAUUUUCAGAGUGCAUAUCAUGCCAUUUUGGGGAGACCAGCUUACGCACGGUUCAUGGCUCGACCAUGCUACGUGUACGUCAAAUUGAAGAUGCCCGGCCCCAAAGAAGUGAUCACUGUCACCGGUGAUCGGAAAAAGGCAGAAGAGUGCUUUCAGAAGGGCUCCAAGAUUGCCGAUUCCCAGGUGACAGCGGUUGAGUUCGAAGAAUACAAGCAAAACGCAGAUUCGAGUGACUUGCUGCGAUCAAAGAAACCCGCCACAGAGUCUGCAUUCCAGUCGUCCGGUGAGACGAAGCCUGUUCACAUUCACCCGACCGACCCCGAUGCAGCUCCGACCCGCAUCUCCACAACACUCGACCCAAAAUAGGAAGAAGCGCUCAUCCAGUUCCUCCGUGAGAACUGGGACAUUUUUGCAUGGAAGCCCGCUGACAUGCCAGGUGUUCCCAGGGGACUGGCUGAGCAUCGCCUAAGAGUCGACUCAUCUGCAAAACCAGUCAAAGAGCAUCUUCGGCGGUCCGCCGUCCAGAAGAGAAAAGCCAUUGGUGAAGAAGUGGCUCGACUGUUGGCGGCAGGAUUUAUCCGAGAGAUAUACCACUCCGAGUGGCUCGCUAAUGUCGUCAUGGUCCCUAAGAAGGACAAGUCGCUCCGAAUGUGCAUUGAUUUCAAGCACAUCAACCGGGCCUACCCGGAAGAUCAUUUUCCUCUCCCUCGCAUAGAUCAAAUUGUUGACUCGACCGCGGGAUGCGAGAGGCUAUCUUUUUUAGAUGCUUACUCCGGGUACCACCAGAUCCGUCUGUACGGACCCGACGAGGUGAAAACAGCUUUCAUCACUCCAUUCGGGUGCUUCUGUUAUAUCACCAUGCCAUUCGGCCUCAAAAAUGCCGGAGCCACAUUUAUGCGAAUGAUUCAGAAGUGUCUACUCACUCAAAUCAGUCGGAAUGUGGAAGCAUAUAUGGAUGAUAUUGUUGUCAAAUCACGAAAAGGUUCCGACCUGCUCGCUGAUCUCGCCGAAACAUUUGCCAACCUCAGAAGAUAUGAUAUCAAGCUCAAUCCAUCAAAGUGCACAUUUGGAGUUCCUGGUGGCAAGUUACUCGGUUUUCUCGUUUCCGAACGGGGAAUCGACGCUAACCCAGAAAAGAUUGGCACUAUUCUCCGAAUGAAACGCCCUGUGCGAGUGCACGAUGUCCAGAAGCUUACUGGAUGCUUGGCCGCAUUAAGUCGAUUCAUCUCACGACUCGGUGAAAAGGCAUUGCCUCUUUACCGACUGAUGAAGAAGACAGACAAGUUCGAGUGGACUCCAGAAGCUGAUGCAGCGUUUGCCGAGCUCAAAACUCUGCUCUCCACCCAACCGGUGCUUGCUGCUCCAAUCAGCAAAGAGCCUCUGUUGCUCUAUAUCGCAGCCACAGGACAAGUCGUCAGUAUUGUGCUAACAGUCGAGCGGGAAGAAGAAGGAAAAGCUCUCAAAGUUCAGCGCCCAGUGUAUUAUUUGUCUGAAGUCUUGACUCCAUCCAAGCAGAGAUAUCCUCAUUAUCAGAAGCUUGUGUAUGGAAUAUACAUGACCACAAAGAAGGUUGCUCAUUAUUUCUCUGAUCAUUCCAUCACAGUCGUCAGCGACGCUCCACUAUCAGAGAUUUUGCACAACAGAGAUGCAACUGGUCGAGUGGCCAAAUGGGCGAUUGAACUUCUUCCCCUUGAUAUCAAGUUUGAGGCAAAGAAAGCCAUUAAGUCCCAGGCAAUAGCAGAUUUCCUCGCCGAGUGGAUUGAACAGCAGCAGCCGACUGAAGUUCACUCGGAGCAUUGGACCAUGUUUUUUGAUGGCUCUAAGAUGUUGAAUGGUUCCGGUGCUGGGGUUGUCCUGUUUUCCCCCAGAGGAGAUAAGCUCAGAUAUGUGCUCCAGAUUCACUUUGAUUCUUCCAACAAUGAGGCAGAAUAUGAGGCCCUCUUAUAUGGGUUGCGCAUGGCCAUUUCACUCGGCGUCCGUCGCCUGAUGGUCUAUGGCGACUCGGAUUUAGUGGUCAAUCAGGUGAUGAAAGAGUGGGACGUGAGAAGCCCAGCCAUGACUGGAUACUGCAGUGCAGUGAGGAAGCUGGAAAAGAAGUUCGAGGGGUUGGAACUCCAUCAUAUACCCCGACUGAAAAAUCAAGCAGCUGAUGAUCUAGCAAAGGUAGGUUCCAAGAGAGAAGCCAUUCCGAGUGGUGUGUUCUUGGAGCAUAUACACACUCCGUCAGUCAAAGAAGAUCCUUUCACCGAAGAAACUCCACAGCCCAAGAGUGCCACAGAUCCGACUGAAGUUGAAGUCCCAGCGGUGGUCGACUUGAUCAUGGAGGUUUUGGUGGUCAUUCCCGACUGGACAGUUCCGUAUGUCACUUAUAUCCUGAGAAAAGAGCUUCCGGAGGAUGAGGAAGAGGCUCGACAGAUCGUCCGUCGAUGUAAGGCCUUUACCGUAAUCAAAGGACAAUUAUACAGAGAAAGCGCGACUGGAGUUGGUCAGAAGUGCAUAACACCAGAAGAAGGUCGACUCAUCCUCAAUGAUAUUCACUCGGGGACCUGUGGUCAUCAUGCGUCCUCUCGGACCAUCGUGGCCAAAGCAUACCGAGCCGGAUUUUACUGGCCAAAGGCGAAUGAGAUGGCAAAAGAUAUAGUGGAUAAGUGCGAGGGAUGUCAGUUCUACUCGAAUAUGUCGCACAAGCCUGCGUCAGCUCUGAAGACCAUCCCACUCGUCUGGCCUUUCGCAGUAUGGGGAUUGGACAUGGUCGGUCCUUUGAGAACAGGACGAAGUGGCUUCACGCAUGUACUGGUGGCAGUCGACAAGUUCACCAAGUGGAUCGAGGCUAAACCAAUCAAGAACCUCGACACCGGUACUGCUGUUAGCUUCAUCAGGGAACUAAUAUUCAGAUAUGGAGUCCCGCACAGCAUCAUUACGGAUAAUGGGUCGAACUUUACUCGGAAGAAUUCAGAGAUUUCUGCAACUCCCAAGGCACACGGGUCGACUAUGCUUCAGUCGCCCAUCCGCAGUCGAAUGGACAAGCAGAGCGAGCUAAUGGACUGAUUCUUAAGGGAUUGAAGCCCCGACUGAUGCGUGAUCUCAAACACGCGGCUGGAGCUUGGGUCGACGAACUUCCCUCAGUGCUUUGGGGGUUGCGGACCACACCUAAUCGGUCGACCGGAAGAACUCCAUUCUUCUUGGUCUACGGAGCUGAAGCAGUCUUGCCGAGUGAUCUUCUCCACAAUGCUCCUCGAGUUGAAAUCUACAACGAAGCAGAGGCUGAACAAGCACGGCAGGACGCAGUCGACCUUUUAGAGGAAGAAAGGGAGAUGGCUCUGAUCCGGUCGACCAUCUACCAACAAGAUUUGCGUCGUUUUCACGCCAGAAAUGUGAGAGGUCGAGCCUUCCAGGAAGGGGAUUUAGUUCUCCGAGUGGAUCAGCACAAACCACACAAGCUUGCUCCUUCUUGGGAAGGCCCCUUCAUCGUCACCAAGGUCCUCCACAACGGGGCGUACCGUCUUUACAACGUCGAGCAUAAUAUCGACGAGCCCCGAGCUUGGAACGCGGAGCUACUCCGCCCAUUUUACACUUAAGUUUUAUCACUCGGAUGAGUUGCAAUAAAAUACUUCUGUAGUUCAUGGACCUCAAAAUAAUAGUGUCACAGUUCCUCCAUAAUUUCUGUCACUUUUUAUUUUUGUCCAAUAAAAUUCCCCCUCAGUGGGUGACUUAGCUGCGAAUCCGUUUCGCCUAAGUUUGUAAAAAUCCUACCGAGUGGUGAGCCAGACUCCCACUCGGAGGCUUAGCUGCGAAUCCGUUUCGCCUAAGUUAUAAAAAUCCUACCGAGUGAAGAGCAACCCUCUCACUCGGGGGCUUAGCUGCAGUCCAAGCACUCGCCUAAGUUAUCAAAAUCCUACCGAGUGGUAAGCCAGACUUCCACUCGGGGGCUUAGCUGCAGUCCAAGCACUCGCCCAAGUUACCAAAAUCCUACCGAGUGAAGAGCAACCCUCUCACUCGGGGGCUUAGCUGCAGUCCAAGCACUCGCCUAAGUUAUCAAAAUCCUGCCAAGUGAAGAGUAAACCUCUCACUCGGGGGCUUAGCUGCAGCCCAGUGCUCGCCUAAGUGGACUGAAGAAAAAGUCGAUCGCAGUAAAGGCGCCUUGCUUUGAACCUUCAAAAGACAUUUCGAGCCAAAGGCAAUCGUAUUCAAGCACCAAAUUCAAGUUUGAAUCGAUAUCUAAAGGAACCGAGAGUGCUCAGGCGUUAAGCCUGUUAAGGUUUAUCGGUUACAAUUCCACUCGGCAUACCGAGGCAAAUUUAAAGCGUCGAGCCAGAAGAAGUUUUUUACCCCUCCUGUGGAGGGCUGGAAGGAGCAACGAAUUCAUCAAGGUCAAUUCCGUCGGCGAUCCGAGUGGCAGCUGCAAGGAAAGUUUCCAUAAAGGACCUGAAGUCGUGCUUCUUGGUAUUGGCCACCCGAAGGGCCGCCAGCUUCUCUUCUCGCGCAUCUUUACAGUGGACUCGGGCCAGACACAGAGCAACAUCUGCACCACACCGAGCCGAGGACUUCUUCCAUUCCUGCACUCGACCAGGGAUCGUGUUCAACCGGGCCAUCAGCGACUCAAGGUCAUUCUGAAGUGUCUCCUCAGGCCAGAGCGUCGAGUCGAUGCGAGAUGUGGCGGCCUUCAGCCUUGCGAGAUAGUCCACGACAGCUGCGACACGAGACUCCAGUCAGAAAACAUCCAUGGCAACUUCAUCGUUCACCGGAGAAUUGACGGGGUCGAGGUUUGGCUCCAGCCGGCUAGUUUCUUCUUCAAAGUUUUGACAGAAUUCUGCAAGGAUGAUCACUAAGUCAAGGGGAUGGUUGAAUGGAAAAACCACAAUUGGAAAUGUUUGCCAAGCAUAGAGGUUUACCUUCAAGCAUAAGAAACAGCUUCUUGGCAAGACUACUCAGGAAGGCCUCCAGAUCAGUUUUCUUCCCAGUCAAUUUGCUGACUUGGUCGGUCAGGGCAGCUUUAUCAGUUUUUAGUCGACUGAUCUCCUUGUUGGCGAUCCCAAGAGCAGCUUUCAGAUUGGUAUUGUCUUGUUCAAGCUUGGUGACUGAAGCUAACUUCUCGUCAGCAAGCUUGAUCUUCUCAGCUAGUUCAAGGUCUUUCUUCUGUUGGGCCUCCCUUACCUUACCUGCAAGUUACAGCAAGAUCAGAUUUUGAAACAAGCAAGGGGAAAGCAGUCGUCAGGGUCUCACCAAACAUACCUUCGGUAUCCUCCUUUGCCUUCGUCAGCUUCUCCUGAACCAGCUUCAGGCUCAGCUCGAGUUGAGUGUGCUUGUGUUCCAGUUCAGAGUAGCGAGCCACAAGAUCACAAGAGUUCUGCGAAGAACCAAUCGACUAAAUGUCAAAUAUAAUUCACUUCCGAGUGAAAAAGGAAAAAAACACACGUUUCUAAGACUACAGCCGAAUACAAGCAUUCGACCGUAGUCUCGGGGACUACACCCAGUGGGUGCACUCAGCGUGCCCCCACUAAUCCUGUUGAAGACAAAGUCGACCAGUCGACCUCAAAAAAAAAAGAGCGAGAUGCAUUCUCUAAGACUGUGAUCAACUGCAAGCAGUCGACCACAGUCUCGGGGACUACACCCAGUGGGUGCACUCAGCGUGCCCCCACCGGUUUGUGAAAUCCAGUCGACAUACUUGACUGACAGAAAAAUUGACAUCAUAAAGCCUAAGGCCGACUGCCAGCAGUCGACCUUAGCCUUGGGGACUACACCCAGCGGGUGCACUCAGCGUGCCCCCGCUAACACGGAGUUUAUUCGACACACCCAGUGGGUGACUACUAUAAAUUCCGGAAAGGAAAAGUUUUUGGUAGCAUAUCCAACAGAACAAACAGUGGUCGACUGACCUGGACAUUGCUUUGGAGGGCAGAACUGGCGUCAUAAGCCGCCUGGCUCGCAUCCCGGAUGGUCUUCAGCUGCUCCAUCAUAAUUCCCGCCUGGCGUAUCGCCUCCUUCGCUGCGCCAGCUUGGUCCUCUGGGACGUGGUGCGUCGUGAAGAGGGAAGGCUGCUGAGCACUCGUCAAUGGAUCUGCGAAGGACACCAUGUGUCGAGUGGUGUUCUCUUCCUCCACAGUCAGAAUCUCAGGCGCCAUCACAUCCUGAGGCACCUUACUGGCGGACGCUUUCCGACUCCUCCUGCGCUUCAGCGGCUCUUCAUCCUCAUCAUCAUCAGGGAGAUUGAUAACAGUAUUGGGUGGAGCUACGGAGAAAAAUCAGGAUCAGAGAUCGCGAGUCAGUCGACUAAGAACGGCGUUAAGAAUACAAUACCUGGGUUCGAAGUUGCUGCGUCCUCCAUCUCGUGGUCAUCAGCCCGGGCCGAGGUUUCAGAAGUGGCAGCACUGCAACUCCAAAGGAUCAGUCGACUAACUUCAGCGUCGACCAGAGACAAAGUUCACACAAAAUAAGAAAAUAUGAGCAGCACGGUUACCCUGAUAUGGUGGGGAUGGACACCUUCAUCUUCGGCAGGAGCUUGAUCGGCUUCGACGAGGCCGCCCUGGGCUGCUUCGGCGCCUUUUCAGUCGGCACCGGAGAGGUGGUCCGAGGGCGCUUGGUCGACUGAGUGGCGGUCGCAACCCCCUUACCACGUUUGGUUGAAGGGUCGUGGACAAGCUUCGACCGCCUUUCUGAGCGCGGUGGUACGACCUCCUCCUCCUCUUCUUCCUCAUCCUCGACGUCAUCUUCAUCACCGUCAUCAUCAUCAUCAUCGUCAUCAUCCUCUGCAACAUCCGAGUCCCAUUCCUCCUCUUCCUGGCUCUCGCCCCCGCUCGCCUCGCCCUCCUCAGUCGAAGCUUGUGCCCCAUUGGGCAUCGAGUACAGCUCGGUGAGGGCCUAGCAGAUGUCCAGACAAGGAUCAGUCGACCAGUCGGCAGGGUAAACAGAAAUGAACGCGACAAGAGCGCAGUGGAGAGCAGGGCAAGUGUACCUUGUUUGGAUCGCUGUUGUGGUCGAGUGGAGGAAUCCUUCUGGCUCCGCGUGGGUUAUCCUUGUUUCUGGUAACGGCUACCAUCCAUCUUUCCAGAGUGACGUCGUCGACUGCUUCUGGAUGGACUCUAGUCUCGUCUUCAGUCCCACGGUACAACCACAUGCAGUGGCUCCGGAACUGAAGGGGCUGGAUGCGACGCCUGAGGAAGACCUACAGGAGGUCCAUGCCCGUCACUCCCUCCCGAACCAACUGCACCACGCGCUCCAUCAACAUCUUCACGUCAGCUUUCUCCUCCGGAAUCAGCUUCAGAGGGGAGGGCUUGUUCACUCGGUCCAUGGUAAACGGAGGGAGUCCACUCGACUGCCCUGGCGUCGACUGGACCUGGCAGUAGAACCAAGUCGACUGCCAGCCUCUGACGGACUCGGGAAAGGUCAUGGGCGGGAAGGUGCUCUUAUUCCUCACCUGGAUCCCCAGACCCCCACACAUUUGUACGACUCGGGUUCUCUCAUCACCUGGGCUCGCCUUCUUCACGGUCUGAGAUCGACACAUGAAUAUAUGCUUGAACAAACCCCAGUGCGGUCGGCAGCCCAGGAAACCCUCACACAUGGACACGAACGCGGCAAGAUAGGCAAUAGAGUUUGGGGUAAAGUGGUGGAGCUGCGCCCCAAAGAAAUUCAAGAAGCCACGCAAGAAAACACUCGGCGGCAAGGAAAAUCCACGAUCAACAUGGGUGGCCAAGAGCACACACUCACCCUCUUCUGGCUGGGGCUGCCACUCCUUCCCCGGAAGCCUCGCAGCUCCAUGAGGAAUCAAGCCCUCGUUGGCCAUGUCGAGGAGGUCAUUCUCGGUGAUGGUCGACUGGAUCCAGUCUCCUUGGACACAGCCCUUCGGCAGGCGGGAUCUGGACGAGGACCCGCCGCGGCUGGUGGAUCUCCCCUUUGCCUUCUCCGUCGCCGACGCCUUCUUCGCACGUUCCAGCGCCGCCGUCUUCUCCUUGGCCAUGGUUGCCGGCGAGAUGCGCGUGGGGAAGUUGUGCGGGGGCGAGAGCGAGCGCGCUGGACAGGGAUGAAGGGAGCGGAGAGAGAGAGAGAAUGACUGAGGCGCAGUACAGAAAUCCUCGCCGGGCGCAUUUAUAAGGUCCCUUCCGAGUGGAUGACAGGUGGGCCCGGUCGAUCUAAUCAUAUCAGGAACAGUUAUGCAGACAGGAUACGUGGCGAAAAAAGCGGCGCGGAGAUCGAGGCGUCUAUGUCCCGUCCCAUCCGAACGCCGCGGUCCGCUCCACUUCGCGCGCGUCCCCAAAUUUCGCAUCCCGCGGAAUCCGCGAACAGCAGAUCAGUCUGUCAGGCACGGGGUUUCCAGCGAUCCGUCGCUCGGAGAUCGUCGAAGCCCGAAAGACCACUCGACGCAAGAAUAGAAUGGAUCGAGUCGACUGAAGACAAGUUGCUCACUGUCGACGAAGAGAUUCUUUGGUCCAGGACAACGCACGACCAGAGCGCAAAGGUUAAUCGGAAACGACAUCAACUCCUUCCUCACUCGAAGCCUCAAUCCAUUCGGGGGCUAAUGAUGGGGUUAUGUACCUAGGGUAGGGUCAUGGACCUGAUCUAAGUACCUUACCCAAGGACACCCUUAGAAGAAGACGCCUUCCAGUCGACCAACGAGGGACACACUCGACUGUCUUGAAGGACUCGACCACGAAGACUCACUCGACCACCAGAAGGUCAGGAGGCACUUUGCACUGCAACGGCCUGUAAUCAAGUAGACUUUAUGAUAGUAAAGGCACUUUAUGUGGGGCGUUACCGGCAACGCCCCAGACUUAACUCACCUUAAACCCUCUCCUACGUGGGCUGGCUGGGGUCCUGGCGCACUCUAUAUAAGCCACCCCCCUCCACAGGCAGAAGGGUUCGGCACCUUGUAACUCAUAUACUCAUAAUCCACUCGACCGCCUCUGGGCUCCGAGACGUAGGGCUGUUACUUCUUCCGAAGAAGGGCCUGAACUCGUACAUCCCUGGUGUUUACAACCUCUCCAUAGCUAGGACCUUGCCUCUCCAUACCUACCCCCCACUCUACUGUCAGGCUUAGAACCACGACAGUGACCAAACUCGCGGUGGCACUCCGAGAUCAUGGAAGCAAGGACACGGAUGACAAUUGGAUCAAGCGGAAGUUCCUCAAGGCCAUGAUGCCCUACAACAAAGCCAUGUCCUCCGUCAUUCGUCAACGACCGGAUUUCCACACCUUGACCUCAAGUGAAGUGUUGGAUGAGUUCAUUGCAAUGAGCAUCCUGGACAAGACCGCCGACAAUGCGGUGCUCCGUUCUCAAAGAGUAAAGAAGCCUAACCUUGCCUUGAAGGCCAAGGUUAUUGAGGAAGAAGUGGAGGAUGAGGAAAUCAACCCCGAAGACACCAAGUUUGACUACCAUGAGCACAUGGCCCUUGCUUCAAGACAGUUUUGGAGCAAGAAGAGCUCAAGACCCAACUUCAACAAGAACAACUCAAGUGGUGUCAAGGGCAAACAACGAGUGAGAACUUGUUUCAACUGUGGCAAUGUGAGCCAUUUCGUUGCGGAUUGUCCUUACGAGAAGCGGGAAGACAAUGGUGGCAAGUUCAUUCGAAAAGACAAAGCCAAGUCCUUCCCCAACAAGAACAACUUCGCCAAGAAGACUCCCACGCGUGGGUUGGUGGUUCAAGAAGAAUAUCAAGAGGAUGACGAUGAUGAUGAAAACGAAGAAGCAACGGCCAUGGCAUCCAUUGCCAUUGCUACUCCCCGGGUGUCUCUCUUCGAAUCACCCAACGAAAACAUCACCGCUAGAUGCCUCAUGGCUAAGGCUUCAAACAAGGUAACCCCCAACAUCACAACCACCUUCAUUACUAAUCCCUCCGUGGAGGAUUGCAUUGACGGACAUGUUGAGUCUAAUGAGGAAGUGAACGAAUUUGAGUCUUUUAUGAGUAAGCUCAAGGGAAAGUCCAAGAAGCACUUUGUUGCUCUCUUGGAACAACUUGGUGAGGCCAAUGACAUGAUCGAGGCUCACGAAGAAACCAUCUCCAAGAUGGAAGGUCAUAGUCGUGACUAUGCCGAUGAGAUAUCGGAUCUCUCUAAUGCUCUUGAGGAAGAGCGUGUGUAUCGUUUGACUCUUGAGGAGUCACACAAUGAUGACCAUGCUAAGUUAAAGAAAGAUCUUGAUCAUGCACUUGUCAUGACUCGUGUGCUAACCUCCGAGAAGGCUAAACUUGGGGUUGAUCAUGCUAGACUCAAAGAGGAGUUUGAGAUACUUGACAAGGCCCACAAGGUCUUGAAGGGUACUCAUGAUAGCCUCAAGGAGUCUCAUGCUCAACUCCAAGUUAAGCUAAUCAAGGAAAAGGCCACCUUUUCUCAUAUGGUAUUAAUUGAUAAUGCAUGUGCUACUAACCCUUGUUGUGAGCAUGUACAUCUUGUGGAGGAAAAUGCCAAGUUGAAGGAACAACUUGAGAAGGGCCUUGUGACUUGUAUUCAAGGUGAGAAAAACCUCAACGACCUUUUGAGCAAUCAAAAGGAAGUUGUGGGCAAAGAAGGAAUUGGGUUUGCACACAAGUUCAAGAGCAAGAAGAAGAAGAACAACAAGGCCAAUCGUCCUCUUCCCCUCAAACAAACGUUCAUGAAAGAGGGAGAGGGUACUUCUAAGAAGAAGAAGGAGAAAGUGAAGGAAGUUGAUGUCCAAAAGGGCAAGAACAUUUCCUCAAACAAAGCCGGCGACUUUAACCCUUCAUAUGUGUUGUGUCGUGCUAGUGAUGGACAUGUUUAUGCUAAAUUUGUUGGUUCCUCUUAUGAAUACAUUGAAUGGUCUAUUUGGGUUCCCAAGACCCUUGUUACUAACAUCAAAUGACCCAUUACUAAAUGGGUACCUAAAACCAAGCAUUGAUUUCGUGUAGGUGUUUGCUUCCGGUGGGGGAUCAUGGUUGCUCGAUAGUGGAGCAACAAAUCAUAUGACCGGGAGCAAGGACUUGGUGGUGGACGUGCAAGAGAUUCCAUCUAUGCCCACCAAUGUCGAGUGGGGUGAUGCAUCGCAUUCUAAGGUAUUGGGUCUCGGCAAGGUUGUCAUUUCUCAUGAUCUAACGAUUGAGAAAGUCAUGCUUGUUGAGUCCCUUGCAUUUAAUUUACUUUCCGUUCGUCAACUUGCACUCAUGAGCUUUGCCACAUUCUUUGAUAUUGAUACCGUGGCCCUCUUGUGGAGCAAGACUCUUAAAGUAGCCUUCGUUGAGCAUGUCGAGAACGGUCUCUAUGUGGUUAACAUUUCGGAGCAACCCACUAAGACCGCGACAUGCCUAAUGGCUAAAGUUGACGUGGGAUGGCUUUGGCAUCACCGUUUAGCCCACGUUAAUAUGAGAUCUUUGCAAAGUCUUCUCAAGGGGGACCAUGUUCGUGGACUAACAAAUGUUAGUUUUGCCAAAGAUCGUGCUUGCAGUGCUUGUAUCGAAGGAAAGCUUCAUGAAAAAUCUCACCCUCCCUCAACCAUCAUCUACUCAAAGAGACCCUUGGAGCUACUUCACAUGGAUCUCUUCGGGCCUCCAUCUUUUGAUAGUCUUGGAGGAAGAAAGUAUUGCUUGGUGAUUGUGGAUGAUUAUUCAAGAUACACUUGGGUAUACUUCUUCAAGAGGAAGAGUGAGACCCAACAAACCGUCAUCAACUUUGCAAAUGAAGCUCAACGUCAACAUGAUGCAAAGAUCUUGACAAUAAGAAGCGACAACGGCACCGAGUUCAAGAACUACACCUUGGAUGAGUUUCUUAGUGAUGAAGGGAUCAAGCAUCAAUAUGCGGCACCUUAUACCCCUCAACAAAAUGGUGUUGCGGAGAGGAAGAACCGGACGUUGAUGGACGCGGCAAGGACCAUGAUGGCGGAGUUCAAGUCUCCAUACAACUUUUGGGCCGAAGCCAUCAACACCGCAUGUCAUGCAUCCAAUCGGCUCUAUCUUCGCAAGGGCUUGAACAAGACUCCUUAUGAGAUCCUCACCGGCAACAAGCCCAACCUCAAGUACUUCCGGGUGUUCGGUUGUAAGUGUUUCAUUCUCAAGAAAGGUGUUCGGUUGUCUAAAUUUGAGGCUAGAGCUCAUGAGGGCAUAUUUGUUGGUUAUGCUACAAACUCUCAUGCUUACCGUGUCCUCAACAAGUCCACCGGACUCAUUGAGGAGACGUGUAACGUGGAGUUUGACGAAAAUAACGGCUCCCAAGUGGAGCAAAGUGGUACUUGUAAUGUAGGUGAUGAAAUUCCUCCCCAAGCCAUAAGAAGAAUGGGUAUUGGUCAAAUCCUACCCAUUGAGGAACCCCUUGUGGCCGAAGGAGAAGGACAAUGCUCUACUCUAGUAGAGCCAUCACCUCAUCAAGACCCAUACGCUUCCGAAGAACAAAGUGAAGGCCCUCAACCUCGUGAACAAGACCAAGGGCAAGAUCCACCUCAAGACGGUGAUGAAUCACUAAUUGAUGCCCAAGGUCAAGUUCUUCCCCUCGAGCGAGUUCAAGACCAAGAGCAACCUCAAGGCCAAGAACAAGCUCAAGACGGCGCUCAAGAUCAUCAAGUCAACCCUCCUCCUUCCACACCCGAGGAGGAAUUAGAGCGUCGUGCCGCGAAGAUUGCUUCCAAGCUCACCACCCAAGGCCAUCUCAUGGAAAAUGUGGUUGGAAGCCUAAGAAAGGGGGUAAGCACUCGUAGACAAUUGGCAAACUAUUGUGAACAUCACGCGUUUGUCUCUUGUGUUGAACCCCAAAAGGUCUAUGAGGCGCUCGAAGACUCGGAUUGGCUCAAUGCCAUGCAUGAAGAACUCAAUAACUUCGAGUACAACAAGGUGUGGAGAUUGGUGCCAAGACCGUCUGGGAACCACAACGUCAUUGGAACCAAGUGGAUCUUCAAGAACAAGCAAGAUGCUCAUGGGAACAUCAUUCGCAACAAGGUAAGAUUGGUAGCACAAGGCUACUCCCAAGUCGAGGGUAUCGACUACGGUGAAACCUUUGCUCCCGUUGCUCGUCUUGAAUCCAUUCGUUUGUUGAUUGCUUAUGCUUCCCAUCACAACUUUAAGUUGCAACAAAUGGAUGUGAAAAGUGCUUUUCUUAAUGGUCAUAUUAAUGAGUUGGUCUAUGUCAAGCAACCCCCCGGGUUCGAGGAUCCCUACUUUCCGGAUCAUGUGUAUCAACUCGAUAAGGCACUCUAUGGCCUUAAACAAGCCCGACGUGCGUGGUAUGACCACCUUACCGAGUUGCUACAAGAUCGUGGAUUUGAAGUAGGGCUAGUCGACCCCACUCUUUUUACUAAGAAGGUCAACGGGGAGUUGUUUGUAUGCCAACUAUAUGUUGAUGAUAUUAUCUUUGGUUCUCCUAACAAAGCUUUCAAUGAAGAAUUUGCCACUCUCAUGACCUCCAAGUUUAAGAUGUCUUCGAUGGGAGAGUUGAAGUUCUUCCUUGGUUUCGACAUCAAACAAAGAAGAGAAGGAACCUUCAUCAACCAAGCCAAAUACACUCAAGACAUGCUUAAAAGAUUCAAGCUAAGUGAUGUCAAGCCGGCUACUACACCAAUGCCUACCAAGUGCCAACUUGACAUCGAUCCCAAUGGUCAAGCGGUGGAUCAAAAGGUAUAUCACUCCAUGAUUGGCUCCUUGCUUUACCUUUGUGCAUCUAGACCGGAUAUCAUGUUGAGUGUGGGGAUGUGUGCACGUUUUCAAGCCGCACCAAGGGAAAGUCUCUUUGUGGCGGUCAAGCGAAUCUUUCGAUAUUUGGCUCAUAUCCCAAACUUUGGCUUAUGGUACCCAAGAGGAGCAAACUUCAAGCUUGAAGGUUUCACGGAUUCCGAUUGGGCGGGAGACAAAGUGGAUAGGAAGUCCACUUCCGGAGGGUGCCAAUUUCUUGGUUGCUCCUUGGUAAGUUGGUCUUCCAAGAAGCAAAGUUGUGUGUCUCUCUCCUCCACCGAAGUGGAGUAUGUGGCGGCCGGUAGUUGUUGUGCUCAACUCCUAUGGAUGAGGCAAACUUUAAAGGAGUACGGUGUCAUUUGUGACAAAGUGCCUCUUUGGUGUGACAAUGAAAGUGCCAUCAAGAUCUCUCUCAACCCGGUGCAACAUUUCAAGACGAAGCACAUUGAGAUUCGGUAUCACUUCAUCCGGGAUCACAUUAGGCGAGGGGAGAUCAAGCUCAAGUAUGUCAACACUCAUGAUAACCUUGCAGAUAUUUUCACGAAGCCCUUGGAUGAAGCAAGAUUUCGCGAGUUAAGGCAUGAGCUAAAUAUCAUUGAUUUGAGCAAUGUGACUUGAACCCGUGCACCCCCCACCACACUCAACUCGUUGUCUAGUUUAGAUGUAGGCAUGGACAUAGGGGGAGUGUUGUUCUCUCAAUGAACUCUCCCUCUCCCCAUUAUGCAUAAAUAGAUCACCUCUUUCACAUUAGCCAUUUUUGAUGGUACUUGUGCUUCAAAGACGAGUUUUGGUCAUGGGCCCAAGGAUAAUUCUUCGCGGUGCCAUACCAUCCAACUCAAACAUAGGUGGCUUCGGCCACCGCCCUCUCUCUCCUCGAGAGGUUUUGUCUCUUAGGGUUCUUCUGUUGUUUCCUUGGUUUGUGCUUGUUUUUGUGUGGUUUUGGGUUGCGUCUGUUUUUCGGUGCAAAGGCAUUUUCUUUUUCUCUCGUUUGAAACCUUCGGUGGCGUGAGCUCACGGUACUACCGCGGUCGGCCACGGCACUACCGCCUAGGCGCGGUACUUCCGCCCGGGCGGUACUACCGCGAUGACCCGCGGUACUACCGCGCCGGUUCGAGCGCGUGGGGAUAAGGCCGGGCAUGGGGAGUUCUAACUCCCCAUACCCAUUCGUCCUCUUUCUCUCCACGCUGUCUCUUCCUCUCUCGUGCUCACGAACGGAGCCGGCGUUCGUCGCCGGAUCUCCUCCACCGGCUGCCCUCCCGUGAUUCCGUCCGGUGGGAUCGUUCCCCACCACGUGCUCUUGCAAUGUUCCAAGGUUUUCCCCAAAUCCUUCUCCUUUUUGUGUUUGGUUCUUCUAGGUUUUGGGGAAGGCUUGUAUGUUCUUGAGGUUCCUAGACUAAAUCUAUGCAAGACUAGGAUGAAGGAGUGUGGUGUUGCAUAGGAUUGACACUUGUAUUGUUGUCUAGCGCUAGAUCUGAUCACCGUAGCACCGUCAUGGCUUCGCGGUUCUUUUUCAGAUUCAAAUCCUGUUAAAUCUGAUGCGACGCGGUACUACCGCCCGUAGGGAGCGGUACUACCGCUCGCACGGUACUCCGCCCCUAGGGCGCGGUACUACCGUGCGUCGUGUGGUACUAAAACUUUACUACUGCCCCAGCCACGGUACUACCGUGGCCCCGCCCGGUACUAUCACAUCUGGAGCUAUACUAAGCCUUUAGUACCGCAAACCAUGGCCGAUCUACCGUGGUUCACAUCUAUCACAUGCCAACUUUCUCGUUUAUCUUCUAUGGGUUUCUUGUGCUGUCUUAUGGCCUUUGCAUUGAUUCUUUUUGCCUUGUGUUUUGGUGCCUUGCGUGUGUGUCUCAGGUGGUGGCUCUCGCCGGGCCAAUCCCGUUCGUGACACUGGCUCCAAGCGUCUGCGUAACACAGGAGAAGUUCCCGAGGGAUCAUCUGCGUCCAAGCGAAAUGUCAGGACCACAGCUAGCAAGCACAAGGAGCCCGCCAAGGGUAUGGAUGAGAUAGGCCCUACCGAGUAUGUCCGUCUCAGACAGCUUCACCCCUAUGCGACCCCUCGCUCCACUGUCAGAGGGUGUGAACUGUUCUGGAACAAGACCCAAACCAUGAUCUACUUGGAUGUCAUCAAGAACAAGCAGAAUACCUAUGUGGAGGUAAAGUGGAUUGAUAUGCACCACAUGAGGAAGGACAAGUUUCGUGACUACUUUGGGGAGGCUCUGGACUUGGUGGAGCAGUUUGGAAUUGAGCAUGUGAUCUCUUUCCACCUGGACUAUGACCCUGAGAUCAUCUGUCAGUUCUUUGCCUCAGUGUAUUUUCACACCAAUGAUGAAAGGAGGAUGACUUGGAUGACCAAUGGCCGCAAGCUGUCUGCUACCUGGAAGGAGUUCAUGGAUUUGCUUCGAGUUGCUGAUGAUGGACUUGACACUCCUGUUGGUGUUCGCCCUCACGGCAAUGCUGACUCUGCUAACAAGGACAAGCUCACCCCGUUCAUGGUUGAGAAGACGCUCGCCAAUAGCAAGACAAUCUUGGUUCUCAACCCCUUUCUGGAUAUCAUGUACCGCAUCUUCCGCAACUCCUUGUUCCCCCGCAUCGGUGACAAAGACAAGGUUCAUGCCUAUAUGGUGGACAUGAUGCUUAUUUGCCAGGAUGCUCGCUUGUCUCAGACUCAGCCACUUGAUGUCUCUCACAUCAUGUGGUGUGAGCUCCGGUUUGCCGUGUUCAACCGCAAGGUGCCUAUUUAUGGGCCCUACCUGUUUCUGCUGAUUUCAAAGACUUGGGAGAAGAUGUACCCUGAGGAGGAGUUCCUGGCUCCAGACUGGGUUCGCCAUGAGCCCAUUUGUCUGAGGGUCAAACCCAACUGGGCUAACACCGCUACUCGUGUUGAGGCGUCUGAUGCUAGGGCUGCUGCUGUUGAUGAGGAUGUUGCUGGCACCGAGGGCCGUUCUGCUAGGCCCUCUUAGAGUGACUCUAGGCCAUCUUGGGCCAAGAAGUUAAAGGAAAAGAUGAAGUCUCUUUUCUGCAUGCAAGCCAAGGGCCAGUACAGGGCUCACGUGGAGUCCAAGGAGAGUCGUCGCCGGCACAACAAGGUCCUGCAACUCUAUGGCGAGGAUGUGUCUGACGGGUCUGAGGAGCACAUCACUCCCGAGACCGAGUGGAUGGAGAAGCAAGGAUACAGGUGGACUGAUUCUGAGGAGGAGGUCGAGGAGUCUAUUCCAGCUGCUUGAGCCACCUCUUGUGCGCUUAGGUGUCCUCUCUGCCUUUUUGGCGUCUCGAUGCCAAAGGGGGAGAGAGUGUAGGGAUUUGCGAUUUGCGAGUUUGUGUGUCGUGUGUUUGCUGCUUUCAGUUGAACUCUCUGCCUUCAGUUGAACUCUCUGCUGUGUUUCUCGUCAGUCGUAUGGUGUAAGGCAUAUGCACUCUAUCUAUCCUAGCUAGCCUGUGUUAUAUUGUGCUUCUUUCAUGCUAUGCUAUGCCUAUUAUCCUGUCUUGGUCUCUAAAAUAUAGGGGGAGUGUUGAUCCUAGUUUAUGUGCCAUGCAGUCCAAAGCAUUCAUCUAAAGUGCACACAUCUAGGGGGAGCCCCGUCUAUAUUUUAGAGAAGUGGGGUUUGCCACUGCUCUAAUAUUAUCUUAUCUUUGUGCAAAUCCCGUGUUGUCAUCAAUACACCAAAAAGGGGGAGAUUGUAAGGGCAUAUUUUUCCCUAAGUGUUUUGGUGAUUGAUGACAAUGCUUGUGCGGACUAAUCGUGUGCCUUGAGUCCCUCAGAUUUCUCAUCAUUAGGUACAAGACGAUUCGGUGCCCCUCGGAGACUGUUGAAGCCGGCAUUGUUCUACGUUUCUCCUUGGUGGAGUUGAGUCGUAGGAGAGCCGUACUAUUAAGAGGGGGUCCGCGUCGGAAAGGUAGGGUGGAAUCACACGUACACUUGUCCCUCCUUUCCUUGCACUUUGGAGCUACCCGUCGUUAUCUUGGUUGUGUGGAAAACUGGCGACUACUGCUGUACUUGCGGUAGUACCGCAGGUACGAGCGGUAGUACCGCGGCUCUUAACGGUAGUACCGCCCCCUUGGUGCGGUAGUACCGCGGCUCCCUGUCCUAGUGCCGCUCCGGUGCGGUAGUAGGGGGCGGAUGUAAUUUUUUACAUCCGCGCCAUUCACGGUAGUACCGCUCGUCCAGCACGGUAGUACCGUGGUGGCCCACGGUAGUACCGCUCCCUUGGAGUUGUAGUACCGUGGCCCUUUCGGCCUAGUACCGCAGUGUCGCGGUAGUAGGCGCGGAUGAAAUUUUUUUCAUCCGCGCCGACCACGGUAGUACCGCGCCUCGCAGGCGGUAGUACCGCGUCGGGUUUUCGUACCACCCUAGUUUCUGCGGAAGUUUGCACGGAUGUAAUUUAUUUUCAUCCGCGCCCUUCCCAGGACGUGACUCUCCUGCCUUGCGGUAGUACCGCAACGGGGAGCGGUAGUACCGCACGAGCGGUAGUACAACCCCUUCUUCAGGCUUGUUCCGGCCUGUGUAGUUGCCACGGUAGUACCGUGGUGGACCACGGUAGUACCGCGCGGCGCCGCGGUAGUACCGCGUCCUUGGAGCGGUAGUACCGUGUGUCGCGGGCAGAACUAGUGGAUAACGGUUGGAUUUUUUCCACGACUAUAUAAGGGUUGUCUUCUACCUCUAGUUGACUACCUCUUCCAUCUCUAAGCUCCAUUGUUGCUCCAAACUCCAUUUUCCCCCGAUCUCUCUCCCUAGCCAAUCAAACUUGUUGAUUUGCUCGGGAUUGGGUGACAAGGGCCCGAUCUACACUUCCACCAAAGGAUAUUUGAUUCCCCCCACUUAUCCCUUGCGGAUCUUGUUACUCUUGGGUGUUGAGCACCCUAGACGGUUGAGGUCACCUCGAAGCCAUACUCCAUUGCGGUGAAGCUUCGUGGUGUGGUUGUUGUUGGGAGCCUCCGAUUGUUGUGGAGAUUGCCCCAACCUUGCUUGUAAAGGUUCGGUCGCCGCCUUCAAGGUCACCAAUAGUGGAAUCACGGCAUCUCGCAUCGUGUGAGGGCGUGAGGAGAAUACGGUGGCCCUAGUGGCUUCUUGGGGAGCAUUGUGCCUCCACACCGCUCUAACGGAGACGUACUUCCCUUUAAAAGGAAGGAACUCCGGUAACACAUCCUUGUCUCCAUCGGCUCCACUAUUGGUUAUUUCGUGCCUUUACUCUCGCUUGCUUACUUAUUGUUACAUCUCUUGUUUGCUUGCAUGCUAGUUGAUAUUGCAUCAUAUAGGUUGCUCACUUAGUUGCAUAUCUAGACAACCUAUUUGUUGCAAAGUUUAAUUUGGUAAAGAAAAGGUUAAAAAUUGUUAGUUGCCUAUUCACCCCCCUCUAGUCAACCAUAUCGAUCCUUUCACUCGGGCUCCUCCUUCACCGGCGCGAAGGGGAACGACGCCGGCGGCUCCGGCUCCUCCUCCUCCUCGUCCGACCACUCCCUCUUCAUGGGGAGGAAGCUCGCGGCGGCGGAGGAGGAGGAUCCGGCGUACGAAGACCGCGCGAAGGAGAACGACGCAUGCCGGCGGUCGUACUCCACCGUCUCGCGGCGGUCGAAGCUCGACGCGGCGAAAGCCCGUGGUUCGUCCACCUCCGCGCGCUGCGCUUCCUCGCGCUGUCGGACCGGACGCGCCGCUCGCGCUCCGGGUCCCUCUCACGGCUAGAUCGGCUGCCGAAGCCGCGUCCGGAGCUCCACAUUCGCCCCCACAUGGCGGCUGGAGGCGGGGCGGAGGGUCGCCGGCGGCGAGAAAUUGGGAGAGGAGAAAGGGGAAUUGGGUAGCUCGCGGCGGCGGGGGAUAGGGUUUGAACCCGCAAAAGGGUCGCGGAAUCGCACUUAUAGUGCUCGGGGCGUGCGGUUUGCGGGCUGCGGCAAAAGUUUUUGAGGGCCGGGCGAGUAUGCGGGCUCUGUUCUGGCCGGAAAAUUGGCCCGAGCCUGCAUACUCGCCGGAAGUUUUGCGGGCUGAGCGUUAUGCGGGGUCUGCUAGAGAUGCUAUUAGGUGAUACCAUAAUACCAUUUCAAAAAAAUUAAUUUUAUAUGUUUCAAAAAUUAUGAAAAAAAGUUGUGGAUGUUCACAUAUAAUCCCUAAAAAUUUCAGGUCCAAAUUCGAAAUAUACAUUGAGAAACAAAAAAGACAAAUCCAACAUGAAUAGUGUCAAAAAAACAAAAGACAAAAGCCAAACACCACUAUUCAUAUACAGAUUUGCCGUUUUUGUUUCUCGAUGUGUAUUCAGAAUUUGGACCUGAAAUUUUUAGGCGUUGUACAUUCAUGUGAGUGAACAUCCACAUUUUUUCCAGAAUGUUUUGAAACAUUUAAAGUUGAUUUUUUAAAUGGUAUCAUGGUAGCAUUUGGGAGCAUCUGAUCUAGUACUAGUUCUUGAUUGGUGAAUAAAGAAAAGCAAUUUUGGACUUAGCUUCAUGAGAAGGAAUGAUGGCUGGACAGAUCGCUCCUAGGGCCCCGAAGUGCCUCGGUUUCUCACGCAUGAAGCAGCCGUGCAACAGACUUCGUCUCGGGGACGCACGACUGCGGCGUUGGCGUGCUACAUCUUGCAACAGAAUCAAUCUACGGUCGGACUGAUCACACGACGGCGACACACAACUCACAACCGUAAUCUCUUGAUCUCAACCUCGUUUACAACUUGACUCUGAUAUCACUUGUUAGAUAAAAUGUGAAUAAACGAGACAUGAGACACAAAUUUAACAUGGAAAACACUUGCGGAAAAGAACCAUGGACGCACGAAGGCGCAAUUCACUAUGAUGACAAGUAUUACAAGCAUGUGACGACAUGCCGUCUUUAAGUGUGACUACAUGGGGUAUAUAUAUGAGCGACAACACAUAAGAAUCCCUGGAGGACAAGUUAACAAGUUAUACUCGUACGCAUCGGUACCAACGCAAAGCUCACACCGCGUGUACUACGUCUAUCCCAGUAGAAUUUGGAUCACAAUUUAACAUUUGUGACGGUAUCUAUCAUCCAUAGGUGACCUUUGUCAAGAUCAUCUUUGAGCCCAGAGGUAACAAAAAAUGUCAUUUUGUCCAGAACUAGAAGGAGAUAGAAAGGAUAUGGAGAGAACAUUUAGAGUGCUCCAAGCCCGUUUUGUUGCAUACCUGCGAAACUGUGGGGUGCAGAGAUAUUGUGAAAGUGAUAAAAAUUUGAAUGAUCAUGCACAACAUGAUUGUGCAGGAUGAGGGUGAAAGAGUUCCCUAAGGUCUAGAAUUUCAAGAGAUGGCCGAUCCUAUCCAGCUUUCGGGGCAGAAUCUGACGACGUUUGAG